GGCCAAGCGACGGGUUGUUUCAUUGCAGGCUUCGUGUGGGUUUCUCGACCAUCGUGCAUGUUUAAUACCAACUCACAGACAAAUGAGCAGUCGGUUUCAGUGCGGUACUAAGCCGUCCAAUUGUCCUGUCUGUUCACAUCGCUCCGACAUUGAACAUGCGCAGAGACUGAGCGAACAUUGUGCUAAUGGCGCUCUCGAUCGGUUUGUUGCUUCAAUGCCAACUCUAGUGACCGGCCAUGUCUGCUCUGAGUCGGCAUGGAUGCGGCGCGGCAAGGCAGGUUUGCGUUGGAGAGGGCAUUGGCGUGGGAGAUGGUUUUACGUAGGACCCACUUUGUCGCGCAUAAGUGACAACGGUCCGGACGUCCAGAAAUAUCGUCUAGCUUGCCAUAUUUGUUUGGAAAUUCAGUCGUGCCUUUUUUGGACAAAAAGGAUCCGUGUUAAAUGUUAAAAUAUGUGUGGACAGCUUAGUCCGAACUUUUACGGGCUAUUUAAGGGUCCGUGUUGAAGAUGCCUUAAAAGCUCCUGAAAAGAAAAUAAGAACACUAAAAAACUCCACAAAUGUUGAGAAAAACUGUAUGCGACUUGGAUCACUUUUUCUUUUGCGGGAAGACUCGGAUCACAUUUGAUACGACACUCUGUCUCCGGAUUAUUUGAGUUAUUGUUUUUAUAUACAAAGUUGUACUCCCUCCGUUCCUAAAUAUAAGUCUUUGUAGAGAUUUCACUAGUAAACUACAUACAAAUGUAUAUAGACAUAUUUUGAAGUGUACAUCCAAUCAUUUUGUUCCGUAUGUUGACAUAUAGUGAAAUCGCUUAAAAGACUUAUAUUUAGGAACGGAGGGAGUACAUGAAUUAGAUCUGAAAUUUUAUGGCAUAAUAUAAGUACCUUCAAUUAAUUUUGGUUUUUACACGGCUUUUAGAUUUGUACGUAUUUCACACGGCUAGAGUGCUAGUGCAUGCUAUACGUGAAUACGUCCCCCUAAUAAUCGAGGCCGCCAAUCUGAACCUGUCAGAAACCUCGGCUCGUGGCUGGAUCUGCACGACGUCAGAAACCUCGGCUCGUGGCUGGAUCUGCACGACGCAUGCAUGCGGCGGUGCAGCCAUUGAACGCGUGUACGUACCUGCACGGCUGCACCUGCAUGCAUGGCCCGUGAUCCCUGUUGGCGAAAAAGGCGCGCACGUCGCAGUUUUUGAACACGGCCCCGUACGUACGUUCACGCUCGAUUUGGGAGGAUCUCCCGCAAUCACUGCGGCAGCAGCCAGCAGUAGACGUACGUACCAUAUAUACAUGCAGCAUUCACGCGGCACUGUCAAGGGCUCAAGCCAACGAGCAGUCGAGUGCCUGUACACUAUUCACGCACACACACACUAACACUACUCCAUUGCUAUUUUGGUUGACAGCUUACCAAGCUGACCACUUGGUAACACUACUCCAUUGCUGACGCCACAAACCAAAGUGGAAGCAACGGGUACGUACCACGGUAGCAGGAGUAUACUCCCUCCGUUCCUAAAUAUAAGUCUUUUAAUCAAUUUCAUUAAGGGUCUACAUACAGAACAAAAUGAUUGAAUCUAUACUUUAAAGUAUGUCUAUAUACAUCCAUAUGUAGACCACUAGUAAAAUUUCUAUGAAGACUUAUAUUUAGUAACGGAGGGAGUACGUGUGUACUGCCCACGUAGCAUUCGAGUAGUCGCACGUGGGGAGGGAGGCGGCCGCGCGUGGCAGGCAGGGUGGCAGAGGCCACCACGAUCGGCCAUCAUCCCGAGACAAAGCCUCCAUGCAUCCAUCCUUCAAAGCAAAAAAAGCAAAGGAAAAAACAUUCUCACCCAUCCUGCCAGCCAGAAAAGAAAAGUUACCACUGCUACUAGCUCGUAGUGCCGCAAGAAUACCCACGAGGCUUUUGAGGCGGCCGAGCCGAGCCGGCAUGCAUGCAUGGUCGUAUCGCGCACAGCACAUCAUCGAAAAACGGUUUCACCACUUUAUAUUACUCUCUUCGUUACUUGAUACUUUCUCCGUCGCAAAAUUCUUGUCUUAAGUUUGUUUAUAAAUAAAUAUAUCAAAAUACUAAAACAUGAUUAAAUACAUUCACAUCUAGACAAAUCUAAGGUAAAAAAAUUAAUACAGAAGGAGUAUAAAUUUUUAAAGAUUUCAUAAAAAAACUAAAUACGAAUGAAUAUAGACAUAUUUUAAAGUAUAGAUUCACUCAUUUUAUUCCGUAUGUAGUCCUUACUAAAAUCUUUUAAAAGGCUCAUAUUUAGAAUGAAGGGAGUAUAAAGCAACCAACAUCGCUGCAAUCAAUGAUAGAUACUAAAGCAAAAGCAGCACAUUCACAUUAAAAAGAAUUAAAAAGAAAAAAUACUGACAACGACGGAUCAACAAAAACAAAGAACCCUCGCGAUCGUUGUGUCCACCGAAGAUCUCUCACCAAGCUCCUAGACUCUGAAACACCGGUACCAAUCAACACCUCUAAGAAAGGCACGACGAUAACGACGCUGCUGCCAAGUGUUUUUUCGGGUACACGAUGAGGAGAAGGGAAAGGUAGCCCCGACACCCUCCAGGAAGGUCCGGCUGCACCCCCAGCCACUACCGCGGCAGUGUCGGCCAUAUCGACAGAGAUUUCUCCCGAUCUCAACCUUCACCUCGGGCACUCCGGAGCCCGCCACCAUACCGACCAUCAGCCUGUACCAACACGAUCUUGAAGCUUCCCACGCCGUCUCAUCACACCACCGCGGAGUGUGACAUGUGCAACAAAGAGGAGGAGCCGGGACUAGGAGCAACAACACUGUCAACACGCGGGAGGGCCCAACCUUCAUCGUCAACGAUGAUAACAGACCGAACGCCACAACAUGAGCACACCAGGCCUGUGGGCCCACAGGCCCGACUGGACGCUCAGAUGCGCGUAAAGCUCCCGCCGUCGCGCUGCAGAAGGCAUGCCAUUGACAUCGUCGCCCCGGAUCUGAGUCGCUCCCCCACCUCACCACGCAGAAGGCAUCAUGGUCGUAAGGGUCUAGAUUUGGGUUGGGGGCGCGUCGUCAGCCACCCCGCCACCAAAGAAAGCGCCACCACCACACUGACCAUGAGCUCCCGCCACUAGGUCGUUGUGUCGCAGCAAACCGAGCCGCACCGCCUCCGCCCCUGCCCCAAGAAGGAUGGUCGUGCGUGGGAAAAGGAGGUAUUGCUGCCACCAGUACCAUCCGAGCCAGAGUCAGGGUUGUCCGUCGACGACGACAAGGGAAGAGGGACGAGGAAGGGAGACGAAGGGAGGGGGUUGCGCGGCGUCCGGACGCCUUUCGGGAAGACGACGCUAGGGCACGGGAGGUGGAGGGGGAGGGGGCUGUCUCUCUCAAGCGUCCAUGUUCAUGCAAUGCCCGAACCUGCUCUCCUCAUUCUCGCACAGCACAUUUGCAAAAGCCGUGGCCCCACCCGUCAGCCGGUGGCCGGACGGCGGCGCUUUCCCUUAUUUUCUGGGUUCCCGCGUCGCGGUCGCGCAGCUUCCAACAAUAAGAGCCGGGCCGGGCUGGACCGGGCCGGACCUGGCAGCACCGUGGAGUGGAGUACCGUGGAGCAGCAGGAUCGAAUCCGAUCCGAUCCGAUCGGGCCGAUCCCACCACCGCACGAGACCGAGAGCUUUGGCGCGCGCGAGCGCCGAAAUUGAGCUUUCGCUCUCGUGUGCGCGCGCAGGGUUCUCUUUUCUCUCUUUUUUAGAUCGAUCGGAGCGAAAGCUGCACGCGGCGGCCGCGCGUGCCGGGCGUACGUACACUGUAACGACUCCCCGUGCCUGCGUGUGUGUGCUCCUGUGGUGGUUUACAAACGUCUUUGUCCGGUCCAUGCCUCGGGAUCGGUGCGCGCCCCGCCGCCGGCCAGCCAAGCCAAUGUUCUUGGUUCAUUUUCUUCUCCGAAUGCUUGCUGGGCGUGCGCCGAUCUUUGACAAGAAGUCGAAGAUGGUGUGCGGCGGCUGGUGUAAAUGUCAAACCCUGCAUGUGCCGCGCUCAUACCACCAUCGUCGCACGCUCUCGUGGGCCUGCAUCUGCAUGCAUGUGAUGUGAGCACGCACGCGCGCACGCCCGUCCGUCCGUCCGUGUAGACAUAAACUGCGGUACUGUCCACGUGAAGAUUUAAAACCUCUACGGUCCAUGCAUAGAUUUUUGCCUCCACGUCUUUUCAAAACCUGCUGGUCAGCACGUUCGAUGACAGCCAGUGUUCCCGCGCGCUGCAUGCAUGCGUGCAGCAAAACGACGACGCGGGAAAAUAAUUUAGCCCAUCCGAUCACUGUUCACUCGCUGCAUGCGUGUGUUUUGUCAUACCUCACAAAAGCCAGGUUUCUUUUGAGACAUUUGAUAGUCCCUAGGUCUAGCAGCUUUAAGAAACUACAGUGAUUUUGAUUCAUUAUCCUUUUCGAUCGAGGCUGGUGGAUUUUAGGACAGCGGGCACAUCAGAGUUAGUUGCAAAAUUUAUAUUCUUAGGACGUAGAUAAAUUUAACAAAUGUCUUAGGCGUUCUAGGUUUGCAGCUCUAUGCAUUUCUAGCUUAGAUGCUACCUACCUCAAUCCACCAAUGCAAAUAACGAUAAUAACAAAACUCAAAAGAAUAAGCUAGCUAGUAGUACGUAGUAGUACGUUUAUACUAGAGGAGCAAUAUGUUAGCCUUCUGCUUUUGAGCAAACAAGCAUCCUUUCCCCAUCAAUAGCAAGUUAUUAAGUUUGAGCUAUUGGAGAGUACUAUCAUAGGACUGAUUAACUAAUCGAUAAUCAUGCAUGAUUACUAGCUGGAGAAGCUACAGGCAAGGGUCAACCCUAAUGGGCAAGUAAAACCUCAAACUUUAGUUAAUUGAUCAUAAGAUCAUUUUUUCAUUUUGUUGUGAAAAAGCAUUCGGAUCUAUUCAAGAAGUUCGCUAGAAGUACAAAGCACUCCAAAUACACUAAAAAUUACACCAAAGUCUUUGGAUCACCGAACAAUCAUUACCGCUACUAGAACAAGUUUUCGACGCAUCACUGCCGCUGCCACCCUAUCGAAGUCAGCUUCACCUUGUCCAUAACCGUCAGUGACUAUGUUCUACAGUUCCAAGUACCAAAACUUUCCUUUUUCUUAAUUACCUUACUCUCACAUACUCUAGUACCUCACAUCACAUUAUUAGAGCAUCUACAACCGGACCCCUCAAACCCACAUUAAACGUCCAGGCAGGCCGCCCAUCCACUGACCGGUCACGAAAAAACGACUCACAUGGACCCCUCAAACGAGCUUCAAACAUCCGGGCUGACCGGCACCCCUCAUAUCCAGUCCAAAUAUGGGCCGGAUAUGGGGGAGCCUAGGCACGCCCGCCACGUCGGACCCAACAUCCCAACCCUAUUGCAAAUUGCACCAAAUCCACCCCGCAAAAUUACCGGAUCCAUUUCUUGCUUUCCUCUCUUCUUCCUCCACAAGUCAUCCGUCUUGCAGCUCCGCCGACGCGCGCACACCGUGUCCUAGUAGUCUCUGCCACCCCGGCCGCUUGGUCAGAGGGAUCAUCUCUCCCGACCUCUCCGUGCAAGACGUCGUCGCAUGCCCGGAAUAAACCGCGAUACGUCCGGCAACUCUCUGGUUGUGCCUUGUGCUGGAUGUGUUCGACAGAAUGUCUGACGGGGUUUGUUGGUCAAAUUUUUAGGUGAAACGAUGGAUUCUGAUGCUUCGUCCAACGAGGAGUAUGGACCGACGGAAUUUGAUCAACUGAUUCAAGACAAGUUCUUCAAUUCAUCGGAUUCGGACGAAGAAGUGGACAUGAUGAUGCUCGUGAGCAUGCAAGAAGAAAUGGACCGGGAAGUGGAUCACAUUCUCAUUUUCAAGGGCCCAAUCAAAGGGCGAAGGGUCAUCAAUCGGGAUAGGGUAUCCGGAGCGAAGGUACUGCAGAAUGAUUACUUUGCUCUGGAUCCAACUUUCCCGGAUGAUACAUUUUUUCAUAGUCGUUUUCGCAUGCAAAAAAAACCAUUGUUUUUGCGCAUGGUGGAGGGAGUGGAGGCACACGAUGACUACUUUAGGCUCACAAAGGAUUGUUGAUGUCAGCUAUGUUUCUCUGCCAAGCAAAAGUGCACGGCUCCCAUGAGGAUGCUUGCACUUGGUACUGCGGCAGAUGCCGUUGGUGAGAUGGUCAGGAUGGGGGAGAGCACAUGCCUGAAAACUACUGUCAAGUUUGCCCGUGUUGUGGUGGAGGUGUUUGGAGCAGAGUAUCUGAGAGAGCCAAAUGCACUGUACACGGAGAAGUUGUUGGCUAUUGGAGAGGUAAGAAGGUUUCGAGGAACGCUCGGUUCAAUCGAUUGCAUGCAUUGACAAUGAAAGAACUGACCCAAAGGUUUGUGAGGAAUGUACCAAGGUCAUACAAAAGAGGCCACCAUCAUACUAGAGGCGGCGGCAUCACAUGACCUAUGGAUUUGGCAUGCUUUCUUUGGAAUGCUAGGUUCUCAUAAUGACAUCAACGUGCUUUAAGGAUCUCUGGUGUUCAAGGGGCUUUGCAAUGGGAAAUCACCUCCGUGCAACUACACUGUCAACGACCAAGACUACCACAUGGGAUACUAUCUUGCCGAUGGCAUAUACUCUCAGUGGACUGCAUUUGUGAAGAUUUUAUCCGAACCACAUGGCAGAGAACAAAAGCACUUCACAACAAUGCAAGAAGCAGCUAGGAACGGUGUGGAGAGGACUUUUGCAGUGCUGCAAACUCGAUGAGGAAUUGUUCGUGGGGCUGCAACGAUGUGGGAACAAGAAACUUUGUGGCAACUGAUAACAUGUUGUGUUAUUUUACAUCAUAUGAUCGUUGAGGAUAAGGAUGAUGUUGUAGCACAAAUCGAUUAAUUUGAAGCACCUCGAGAACAAGUUAAAAUCCCCGAAGAUCAAUAUGCAAUGCAGCUUAUGAACUUUGUGGAGAUGCAUCAGAAUCUCCGUGACCAUCACGUGCACACACAACUACUCAAUGAUGUGGUGGAUAAUAUAUGGACCCAUAAUGGAAAUCAAAGAGCAGGUGAUUGAUUGUGCACUUUAAAUAAAAUUGAUGUAAACACUUCUUAUGUUUGGUACCAACAUUUGUUUUACGUGUGACGUUUAGUAUCAAAUGAUCGUCGUACAUUUCUUUGCAUGGAUUUAAGAGUCCGAAUAAGAAGUAUGCAGAUGUAUAAAAUGAAAUAUGAGGGAUCAUCGCGGACGUAGUAGAUGCUCUUAGAGUCUAGAUAAGGCCUAAGCUUCUUUUGAGAUAUAGUCUACUGGUAAAAUACAGUAAUAGCUAGCCUUUGGGUAGGGGCCCGAGUUGCUUUCCUCAACAGCUCUCAAGAUCUUUGUCCCUCUAUGUUUAUAGCCUGCUGACAAGCCCUGCCCAUAGCUGCGGGAGUCUGCCCAUAUUGAGAGAGACUAGAUAGAUGACAGGCCCUCCAAUGCCAUAUGUACAUUUCAGGAGAUUAAUAGUGGUACUAGUCACUACUCCUAGUCGAAUGUGUGUGCAUGCAGUGCAGGCUUUAUCUUUUGCGGAUGCUUACUAGCCGAUAAUGAUGCUGUGGUCCAGAUGCAAAUUUAGCCCACGCAAAUGGUUUUAGAUGACUCCUAAUCAGCUUGGGUUCCAAACCUAAUAGCUAUUGGUACACAUGGCCUGGAUUUGGUUCGAUCAACAGCUUUUAAUUGUGUGCUGGAUUAUUUUUUUCUCGAAUACAAUUGUGUGCUGGAUCAUGUCGCCUGUUUUACACAUGGAUCGAACGGUUCAGGCAGGUUCAUCGGCUUGAAUCAUGUGACAGAGAAUUAUUCCAACCAAUUCCAACGCAGGUUUCGUGUUGGGAUGGAAUGUUCGUGUGUGCGUUGUUAAGGAUGAGUGUAUAUGUAUGUAUAUAAACGUUUUUGUUUGUACUGUGUUUAAAAAGUAGCUAUAGUGGGAUUUAGAGCCAUCUCCAUCGAUCUUUGGCAAAUGGGACGGUUCGUGCUCAUCCCCCGCAUCAUCAUAAAUUAGGUGCACAUCCAAUCCAACACAAUUCCAACGGUUGGCCAAAUACAUAUUUCACCAUGGCGAGGAUUGUUUUGUACGCCAUGCGUGUAGAUUGGCUCUACGUGAGCCGAUCGAGCGGUGGUCCUCCAAUCGCGUCGCAAUCUGACUGAUUAGGCCGUGUGAGUAUCCAAAGAUACAAUGGGCCAGCACACCAGCACACAUAAUUUAGGGUUCGUGGUCCAAACCACAUUUCAAUCCUUUCACAUACGCAUCUGAAAUGAUUUCCGGCUGCUGGCUGCUGGCCGCGGCUUUGUCGUCCUUCCCGGCCGCCCGCCCGCGGGCACGCAAAGUCCUACUCCGUCCGUUCCUAAAUACUCCCUCCGUCCCAAAAUUCUUAUCUAAAAUUUGUCCAGAAAUUGAUGUAUCUAAAUACUAAAACGUGACUACAUACAUUCAUAUCUAGAUAAAUCUAAGACAAGAAUUAUGGAACGGAGGGAGUACAAAACUGAUACUCCCUCCGUUUCUAAAUAUAAGUUUUUUUUAAAGGUUUCACUAGUGAACUACAUACGGAUGUAUAUACACUAGUGGGGACAGGGCCUAUAGUCCCGACCCGUAAGGGGCUUUAGUUCCGGUUCACCAACCGGGACCAAAGAGGCGGGACGGCCCUGUUCCAAACCGGGACCAAAGGUGCUCCACGUGGGCGCCUCGGAGCGCCCUCAGGGGCAGGCCCUUUAGUCCCGGGUCUUAACACGGACCGGGACUAAAGGAUCCGUCUGUUUAUUUUGUUUGUUUGACCCAAAUAGGUAUUUUUUUAUUUAUUUUUCAAAUUUUAUUUUAGAAUAUUCUUUGAUUUGUUUUUAUGUUUUAUUUCAAUUUUUAAAUCUUUGAUUUAUUUGACAAUUUAAUCUCUAAUCACCCAUCCUCACUGCUCUAGUGUAGACUACUCAUUUCAAAUCGUCUAACUUCUCUGCCGGUCACCCAUCCUUUCAGUGCUUCAGCCCGAGCACGCUUAACUUCCUGGUUCUAUCGCCCCUAGUUUUUUUUAUAACAAUCUAACAGAUGACUAGGAGAAAAAAGAAUUAAAUUAAAAACUAUUUGUAAACUCAAGUUAUUCACAAUUUGGGUUUGAAGCAAAUUUGAACAAAUUUAAAUUUAAACCAUUCAAAUUUAAAAACUAAUUGCACAAACAGAAACUAGACAAAAAUUUGAAUCUAAUGCAAAAAGAAUCACUAAAAAAAUUAAAUAUCCUAAAAGAUAUAAUCAAUUUAAAACAGAAACUACAAACAGAAAUAAAAUUUAAAAACAGGACAAAAUAAAAAUACAAAACCCCUUUAGUCCCGGUUCGUGUCUCGAUUCAAGACACGAACCAGAACUAAAGCCUCCAAACCCUUUAGUCCCGGUUCGAGACACGAACUAACAUUACUCCCGGUUCGUAAUGGAACAUGGACUAAUGUGUAAAUUGAGCUGAGACGGAAGCCCCUUUUUCUACUAGUGAUAGACAUACUUUGAAGUAUAGAUUAACUCAUUUUGCUUCGUAUAUUACUUAAUGAAAUUUUUUAAAAGAUUUAUAUUUAGAAACGGAGGGAGUAAUACGUAGUAGUUCCACGGUCCUGUUUGGAUUUUGGACAUAGAGUUUGUUUUGGAGAAAACAACGUGCGCUCUGAACUUAAUUACAACCAACGCUGCAUAUGAUAUGCCCAUGCGCUGUCCCUGUCAGCUUCCCCCUUGACAACGAAAAGCCCAAUACAGUCUCAGUACAAUAACAAGUGGGACUAUGAGAAGGAAAACAGUACGCGAUGGUAUUUUUAUUUUAUUUUAUUUCUUGGUGACAAGUCCAGUACAGCCAUGCUCCAAAAGUAUGGGAAUCAAGUUGAUGGAACAAGCAGCAAAACUAAAUUAAUUAAUACUCGUCGGGAUCGAUCGACUCGCAGUUGAGAGCAUCGCAAGAGAGGCUUUUUUGACCGACGGCACUCGCAAGCCACAAGCCACAAGCCGGGGGCAGAAAAAGGGUGAAAGGAGCUCGGCCAAAGAAGAGGAGAAAGAAAAACAGCAGAAUAAUGGGGGCACGUACGCUUUUUCCGCGGUCGAGAUUAGCUCAUAUCAAUGGGAGGAUAGAAAGUAAGAUUUGGCGCAUAAUUCCAUCGGAUGAUUGCGGUGACACCACACCACUCUUGGAGUUGGAGGUCGAGAGUGAUCCGCUGCCGAGGGACCCGGACGGAAGCAUCAGCCACAUUUAAGCUAGCUGCUGGUGGAUCACAUCACAUCGAUCCAUUGCAAUGUUACAAACGGCAGUAGUAUUAUUUUUUCUCCCUCGUGCCGUAAGUCUAGUUUUGGAGACAGCAGCAGUAUCGUUGAUCCUCUGCCGAUUUCUUCCUUCCUUCCUUGAUGGCGGCACUGCAUUUGAGCAGAUCCUACUACUACUACUACUACACAACAGUGUGCCAGUUGAUGUUUUUGUUCCUGAUUUCGAACCCGGCUAAGGAUUGAUUUUUGGGCGUUGGAGGAGUGGUAAUAGGCGUCGCACGGAUCAACGGUGCUGGGUACAUGGGAAUCCCUGUACGUGCACGUUGCUCGUACAGACAUAAAGAGGUCGCACGUACGAUCGAUCGAACACAUAGCAAGGACGGCGCAAUCAAUCAAUGGAGGCACGCUUUCGAAAACGCUGCUCAAUCGUACGUACGAGCACGUACGUCGUCUCAAACAAGAGGACAAACCCGGGAAACAGGCCCCCGAUCCUUAAGCUAAGAGCUCUCUUAAUAAGCUAAUUAUAAAGCCGGGAGAGCCCAUAGAUGAGGAUUGAAAAUCUGGGUCCAACUGCGCAAAGGAAGCUAGGUUGCGUUCAGCUACUAUAACACGAUCGAUCUCCCUGUAGCCGGAAUAAUUGACCAACGUUGAGUAGUAGCAUGUAAAUGUAAUGCAUCAUCAUCUACUGUAGUAGUAGUAGUAGGAGUAGCAGUGAUGAGUUGUGUGGAACCGUUGGUGAUUUUGUAUCGACAUGUUUGAUAGCCAGCCUCGAUCAGCCUAGCUCCUACUAGUUACCACAACACACCAAAAAUCCCUCUUGCUUCUUUCACAAUCCAUGGACGGCCAUAAUUAGCAAAAAUUAGACCGUACGGCGAGCCAGGAUUGCGGCCCUGUUUCCCGGAUUCGCUGAUCCUCGUCCCCAAAUUAGUAAGAGUAGCAAGUUUGCUGCAAAAAACAAGUGAAAGUCAUGCUUGGAUCACGGAAAGAAACAAGUGUGCUGGAGCUGACGCCUGUGGCGCUGGAGGAGGGAAAUAAACAAGGAAAGGAAGAGGAAUGAAUGAUUCCGUAGGGAUAUGAUGCCGGUAAUGAUUAGCGGGAGCUCGCUCGCUCGCAUGUUAGCGGGGAAGCAGCAGACAAAGCGUGUGCGUGCAUCCCCGUCAAAUCCAUCCGUCGCUCACCGUCGCCGUCUUCGCCCACCACCGUCCGCCUCCAAACUUUCAAUCCCUUCCUCAUUUCUCUCCUCCUCCCCUCUUCUUCACAUGCUGCUGCGUCCUCUUCAUAUUCACGCUAGCCUAGCAUUCAAGGCUUCACGAGGAACGCACGACUUUCUUACUGUAGUAGAAAAGCAACGUUGCUGAUUGAUUUCCUGCGGCUAGAAAUUACAUCUGAGUACACUCCACACCCCACAAAAACACCAAAGAAAAACGCCAAAAGGUUAAAGAGAGAGCACGUAAUAAAAAAAAACGCUUACUCCACACCUCCCCCAUCUCGCUAAACUAAUUUUGCAUUUUACAGUCACCGCGCGCGAUCCGAUCGGCGCAAACGUCAGACCACCCUGGCGCUCCGGCCGUGCCCGUACGCGUGGCCAAUGCCGCGGCUCAGCACCACCCUGGUCGUCUCGUACACCGGCAGCUCGUCCCUGUACCCCGCGCCCGGCGGCACGGCGACGGCGGCGGCGAAGUUCUCCAGCUCGAACAGGUCGGAGCUGGCGUCGCUGCUGUCCUCGUCGUCGUCCUCGUCCUCGUCGCUCUCCAUCUCCAUGCGCCGGAGCAGCAUCUGCUCCACCGCCAGCGCCGGCACCCUCCGCCGGUCCGCCCCGGGCACCGUGGCGGGCGCCUCGCGGUCGCCGUCCGCGAACCGCACGGUGCGGUUCGCGUGCCCGCGCGUGGACGGCGUCUUGCUCAGGCACGACCGCGAGUAGGACGACGCCGAGGAGCACGCGUACUCCGCCGCCGCCGCCGCCGCCGCCCGGGCCGAGGGCGGGGUCUGCGGCGCGCUGCGCUUGCCGGCGAAGAUGGUGUUGAGGAAGCCCGCGAGGCGCGCGCCGGGGGAGGCCGGCUUGCGGAGGUCCCUGAGCUUGGCGCGGAUCGAGGCCCCCGCCGCCGCCGGCUUCUUGGCCUUCUUCUCCGGCGCGGGCGCGGGCUGACCGCCGGGCACCACCGUGCGGAUGGGGCGCAGGCGGCGGUGGUUGGACGACUCGGCCUCGGACGAGGAGAAGCCGCCGUAGCUGGAGCACUCGGAGGAGCUGGACGUGGUGGCGUGCGGCCCCGGCGCCCGGUAGCUCCCGGCGAGCGACGGCCUGUAGUAGUAGCUGUAGUGCAGGGCCUCCUCCACGUGCUUCUUCUGCUGCUGCUGCUUCUUGGUCACCGCCGCCUCCCCGCCGGCGUGGCCCGGCUCGUCCUCCAUGGACCUGUAUAUCGCGUCGAGCAGCGACGACGAGAAGGACGGCUGGUCGGCGUGCCGCCUCGCCCCCGCCGACGUCCCCUUCUCCAUGCCACGCCUCUCCAUGCCACCACCAACACAGCAAGAACAGAACACCAAAGCUUACAAAAACAGCAGCUCCCAGCCCAGCAAUGCGCUCUUCUUCUUCACCGGAAAGCGGCGGUGAGACGGUUUUUCUUCACCGGAAGUGAGCUGAUGAGGGUGGUGGUGGAAGCUGGAAAGGAAGGAGGGGGUGGUCCGGUGUGGAGAGGUUGGAGGAAAGAAGGGUGAGGGAGCAAGGGAUCGGGGGGAAGAUAUAGGCGGACCGGGAGGAAGAAGGGGUGACGUGGCAACGGGCAGAGGAGGAGGAGGAGGCGGCCACCACGCUAGCUUCAGUUGGGUUUGGGCGUGCGGGUGAUGGCCACGGGCCCACUCGUCCCCCACCCUCUAUCUAUCUGUCGCUCACUCCUCAUGUCACCACCCGGUGGCCUUACCUAUGUGUGUGUGAUCAGUGAUCACUAUCUCAUUCAUCCAUCCAUUUAAGAAGGUUACCAGACACCGGUACUGGCACGAGUAAAUCCCCCACUUUUGGCUCGUCUCACGUUCUACUGUUUAGCUCAUGAUGAUCCAGUUCCAGCCACGUCGCUCCACACCCCGCCCAGUAACAUGCUCUCCUUAGUUGCGAUCGCAGCUAAGAACUCCUCAACGUGCGUCCUAAUUUCACAACUAAUGAACGCGCUAACCCAUGUGGUGUCCUGCUGCAGCUAGCAUUGCCUGCACAUCAUGGAUGUCUAUGCUAAGUUAAAAAAGAUUUUCCUUGCUUAAUUUGCCCGGGGCCGGUGCAAAUUAUCUGCAGUGCUCCUACCAAAGGCGCGCUAACAAACAAACACGGCGCGAAACGGCAUGCGCGCCACAUCUAACCACCUAGCUACGCGCGUUUUGUGUCGCCCAAACAAAAUAUUACCUCAACGAACCGAGCGCAUAAAAAAAACCGGAGGCCCCGUGCUGGCGCAGGUACGGCGUCUCCGCUGCGAAAAGCGCGCCCUCCGCCUUGCCACAUCCAUCCAUCCAUCCAUCCAUCCUCGCUUAAUCUACAUCAGUGCUCAACAGUGCACCGCACCGUACCGUACCGCUUGUGAAUAAUAAAGAUUGCUGUGUGGCGAGCUGCAAAGCAUGAGAUGAGAUUCCCGUCGUCCUUGAUUAAUCCUUUGUGCUAGUACUACGAGUACGAGUACUACGGUGGUAAUCAAGGUUUAAUUAGCGUGUUGCAGUACGCCGGGCCUCGCUGCACUGGCGGUGCCGGGAGCAGUACAUGUUUUUUUUUUAGUACUAGCAGUAGCUUGUUUAUUGCUGCCGGGGACCAUUCGUCUUAACACCAAGGGGGGAAAGGGUGUGUGCGCGUUCGUUCAUCUUGAUGGUGGCCGGGGAAUGUUUUUGGUCGCAUGUUUUUGUUUCUUUUUCCCUUGUCACCCCCGGGUUGUUUUCGUACGUGGUACUACUCCAGCGCUGUGGCGUAACCCACCUUUUUGUUUGUGUGGGCUUCGAGGCGCGCGAUCGUUGUCUUGGAUGCACGGUUCGCUGUGCGCUAGUAGAUCGACGUUCGUGAUGGAUGGCAACCCCCGAACAUGUUCACGAGGGCUUGAGCGUGAUGGACGGCGGGGGAACCACGCUGCACGCACCGCCAGCCACAAUAAUCAAUCAGUAUUGUAAGACCUCGAUCCGCGUCUUUGAAAUCCCGGAAAAAUGGCUGCGCCACUCGUCUCUCUCGUCAGUUCAAACCCAUACUCCACUCGUCUCUCGGUACAACAGUUUUCUCCGUGGGAAGAUGGUCGUCGCUAGGCACCGAGGCCUCCUUGUCUCUAAACUUUUGAAGAUCUUACGCAUCGAUUUCCACGGCGACUUGGCGGAGGCCUGUCCAAAUUUUCCGUCCUGUGAUGCCCACCUGCGCGUCGACCGUGGCGGAGGAUGAUCGGUCAGACAGGAGAGGGACAUAAAUGGACUGCACGGGGCGGCUGCCUCCCGCCCGGAUCCCUCCGUCCCUUUCCGACCCGAUCGAACCCAGCAUGCGUGCUACUACACGGAUGCACGCACUGAACCGGCUCAACUGCGCGUGGUGGCACGGAGGUAGGGGCGCGCCAUGGUGCCCAUGCGAGCCGGUGCGUCCAGUCCCCAUAUGCAUGCAUGGUCAAGAGGCAGGGUUGGGUGCCGUGGGCAUGGCUGCCGUUGGUUAACAUGACACGGGCGGAGGCUGAUGGCGAUGCUGUUCAUGCGCUGCCGGCCCGCCCGCCCGCCUUGAUCACGAUCGAUAUCUGGCCGGAAACGAUGGGCACGGCUACCUUGGCUGGACCCCCGGCCGACCCCCGGGCGCAUUAGGUCGGCUAUCACCUUUGGUGAUCGGUCGACUUGAUCGAUGCCGGCCUUGAUGUGUUGGUGUUGGGUUGAUCGCCGUGACUGGCUGAGUGAGUGAGUGAGUGAGUGACAGCCGGUGUGUCCAUCGUCCGGCCACGCCUAGGCUAAGGGUACGAUGUACGUACGCACUGCCCUUCUCUUUUCUUUUCUUUUCUUCGGUGUGGGUUCGGAGAUUGGUGUGAUUGGACGUGGAGUCGAUCGGUUGUGUCCGAUCCAUCCAUCGUGCGUGCGUGCGUGCCUACUGAGAGGAGAUAUGUCGUCGAGCACGCACUUGUAGUUGUACGUGCGUGCGUAGGGUUAUGGUGGUUUGGUGGUACCCGAUGGCUGCGUGCGUAUGUAUGUGUCGGCUCUGCAUUGGGGAAGGCCUGUGGUGUCUUUGUUGGAUUCGGAGACAGCGACGGUCGGCCCUGCGCCGCGCCUGGCUACCUGCUCUUCUGUUCUUCUCUUGUUCGAUUGAGUCUGCACGAGCGCACGCCUUUGGAUGCCGCGACCCUGCUCCCGCUCUUUUGUUUUACGUGUAGCAAGGAGGAGAGAGGCAGAGUGACUGGCUGGUUCUUGUUUGCUUCUGAAUGUGCACUGCACAAGGAUCCAAAGCUACGGUGUGCGUGCAGACAGGCUGAACACAUGCAUACGUUACACUGAUGAUGUGGCCGCAGCUCGGCGGAACUAGACCAUGCGGUUCCAUAAACAAAGUUAGGAUCAAGCUGUAACAAAGUUAGAAUCCACUGAUGACUACCUUGCAGCUGCAGUCUUGCAAGCCGAUGAACAGACCUAGGCACCUAGCUAGCUGAGACUGAGACGAUGGAAGGGAAGACAUUCCGCAGUCCGUAUCAACCAACAACAGUACCAGCGAACAGUGGGAAACCUAUGAGCAACAGAAGAGCAUGGAAUCCUCAACAGCGUCUGUAGGGCAGGCAGCGAUGCCCAGCACUCCGUCGUCCCAAAGCGAAAAAGGGGCGGCAGGCAGGCAGCGUGUGCUGGGACGUCACGUUGUGCCGCGCGAACGGCAGGCCCAAGAAAACCAUCCAUCGGAGCAUCGGCUUUCCUUUCCCCGGUCGGCCGGCGAGCACGCAACGCCGCGGCAGGCGCAUCAGAGGCGCAGAUCUCCUCGUCUCCCUCCCCGCACGCCCCGAGCAGCACAGCGCAUGCAAGAUAGCUGCGCUCGACUGUCGACUCGACGCCGCCUUCUGCCUGGCACCUUCCGCUGCACGGAGGCCUUCCAGCCAUACGCAGAUCGUGUCGCCUCGUCUGCCUUUUUUGCUUUCUUCUUUAGCUGAUCUUCUUCUUGGGUGGGUGGUUCUCUCGUGAUCCCGGGUAGCUAGCACCAUCCGUGCACCUGCGGCGUGGUGAUUGCGGGCGGCCGGGCGUGUGUGUUUUGCGUCGCUGGCGGUGGCGGAGGGUUUAGUGGCUGCUCAGGCCAGUGGAAAAGGGAUUGGAAAGUUUGGAGGAAUCAAUGGAAGGCGCACACAUGCACGGGGUUAGCUUGAGAGUAUUUUUCUAAGUGUCCCUGUCGCCGGGCGAGUUGAUCCGGUAAUCAUAUACUGCAUGCGGAUGCGGGGUUGGCUUUUGUUUUAAUGUUUAGGGCUACUCUCUUUCGAGGCCCUGGCUAGGGUUAGGGUGGUCCAUGGGCAAAUCACAAAUGGGAGGUCGGUUUGUCGUUCUUCUGCUCGGGUGUUGUAGUAUUUUUCUCUUGCUUAAAUCCAAAGCUAACCGAAACCGACUCCAUGGCUGGAAUUUGGAGUACUAGUAACAUGGACGUCGAACGUCGGUAGAAAUCUCAUUGGGUAUUACAAUGGCUGCACCUGCACGAACGCGAACGUCAUGCACAUCUGACAUUUCCACAGUUUUCAGGGCGCACCGCGUCGCAUAACAAAAAAAGAAAAACAGAUUUCCGACGAACUCCGUGGAGCAAUUUAUAGUCCAAUGACAAUAUGGCACGUCUUCCUCCUUUAUUGCCCCCGCCUGUGUAUCAAUUGAUACAUGCGAUCUUUUAUUAAUAAAACCAUAAAUAGUUUUAUAGUCCACAAUAAGCUUAAAGAGUUGUAAAAAGGAGAUUAAAUAAAAAAGCCGCAACGGGUUAAAAUAGGCAUAUAGAUAACUAAACACCUAUUCUAUUAUUAGAUGUCUAUCCAUAUCGGUUGUAAAUAUCCCGAGCUACAAUCUUUCAUCGGGCACAUCAAGUAACCAUAGGCUUCCUGACUUCCCGAGAAGUGAUUAACGACCACAUACAGAUCGUAGGAGUGGCCCUGUAGAUAAUCUGUAAAAAAAUUGCACGAAUCUAUCUGUUAAAAACAAAAUCAUUUCUUCACUUUCAUAUAGCCCAAAGUAAUGCCAAACUCCAACCCAAAAAAAUGCAUCUCUCACUACCCGCCCAAUUCCGUUUUGACAGAUUAUCUUUCGUUAGAAUCACCUUCUUGUGAACAAACCACAUGGAUACUUUGAAUUUCAACGGAACCUUAACCUUCCAAAUGUGUAUUGUAUUAGGGAUCGGGCCCGAAUCUAUGAGAUCAAGAGACGUAGAUUUGACCGAAAAGAUGUUUUUUUUUGAACGAAAGGGGUCUCCCCCCUGCCCCAUUUAUAUAAAUGAAGCAACCAAAGUCUUGUUACAUCCCAAACAUCCAAACAGAGAAAAAGACUUGAAAACAGGAAAACACCUAACAGUCUUUAGCUAUAGCCAUCAACAUUCUUCUCCCGACGAGGGGUUACAACCCAAAGAUAAUCAUUCGAAGACUAGGCUUCCUAUCCCCUCCCCCAGGUUCAUCUCCAAGCAAUUCGAAGCAGUUCCCCGCGCCUGAUGUCCAGUUGCCUCAUGAAGUCUCGCAGCAGAUCCGCCUGAGCACCGGAGAACAAAACCCGCCAUUGAUUGAGAUGAAUGUCCAGCUUUGCAAGAAUGCAUUUCACACUUCUCCUGAUGCGGCCCUGAAAACAAAGAUCAUUUUUGACCGAAAAGAUGUCAUUUCUAUUUCAAAGCCAAUGAAGGUUAUCAGGUUCGUCACAAAGGUUGAUAUCCAUCAACUUGUGACCAAAUGCAACUAGACUGCCCAUCGAUCUCCAAUUAAAGAUCUUUCGAAUUGUAUAUUUAAAGGCACAAACUAUAAUACUGUAGCAACAUAUGCUUCUUUACGUUGUACAAUAUUAUAGAGUGUUGGAUACUCGGUAGUUAGCGACGUGUCCCCUAACCACGUAUCCUCUCAGAAUCUCGUCGACUCUCCGUUUCCAAUGAUGAGUUUAGUUUUAUGGAAAAAGGUUGCUUUAGUCCUCAUCAAGCCCUUCCAGAAAGGUGAAUCAUUGAGUCUAACGAUAACACGGGUUAAGGUCUUAGAUUGUAAGUACUUAUUGCGUAAAAUUUGUACCCCACAUACCUUCAUUAUUCACAAUGAGUCUGUAAGCCACUUACUGGGUAGACACAUGUUUUUAACCUCUAAAUUGUCAAUUCCAAGGCCUUCGUAUUCCUUCGGUCUACAAAUGAUGUCACAUCUAGUAAGCUGGUACUUCCUCUUGAUCCAGUUACUCUGCCAGAAGAACCGGGAUCGAUAAAAAUCCUAUCUUUUCCGUACCCCUACAAGUACCUCGAAGAAGGAUAGGUGGAACAUCAGCACACUCGUUAGCACGAAGUGUACCAGUAUGAGCCUACCUCCAUAAAACAAAAGCUUGCCCUUCCAGAAGCUCAAUUUUUUUUCAAAUCAAUCCUCAAUACGUAUCCACUCCUUAUUAGUGAGCUUGCGAUGGUGAAUGGGUAUACCCAGAUAGCUAAAAGGUAAAUUACCCAAUUCACAUCCGAACAAUUGUUUAUAAGCAUCUUGUUCGUAUUUCGCUCUCCCGAAGCAGAACAAGCUUUUGUUAAAAUUCAUCUUCAAUCCUGAUAACUAUUCGAAUAAGCACAAUAUCAGUUUCAUGUUUCUAGGGUUUUUCAAAUAAUGUUCCAUGAAAAGAAUCUUAUCAUCGGCGUACUGUAAAAUGGACACUCCAUCAUCAACUAGAUGUGGCAUUAGUCCACCUACUAGGCCCUCCUCUUUAUCCCUUUCUAUCAUGAUUGCCAAUAUAUCCGCCACAAUUUUGAACAAAAUAUGGGACACAGGAUCACCCUGUCUUAGACCCUUUUAAGUUUGGAAGUAGUGACCUAUAUCAUCAUUCACUUUGACUCCAAUGUUGCCUUUUUGUAUAAAUGAAUCGACAUGGUUCCUCCAUACUUCAUCGAAUCCAUUCAUACAUAGGGCUUGCUGUAGGAAUGGUCAUUUAACUUUAUCAUACAUCUUCUCGAAAUUCACUUUGAAGAUUACCUCGCCUAGUAUCUUUGAAUGGAUUUCAUGCAAAGUUUCAUGCAAGACCAUCACCCUUCUAAUAGAGUAAAUUUCACAAAAGGACCACUUUGAAAGCUAGGUUUGCGAAAAGCACUAUAAUACAUUUUUUUGCAAAAAACACCAUGUCUUCAGUAAUCUUUUUGCAGAAAGUGUUGGGGAACGUUGCAUGGAAAACAAAAAAUUUCCAACACACACGCAAGAUCUAUCCAUGGUGAUGACCAUCUACGAGAGGGGAAGUGCGGAUCCACCUACCCUUGUAGAACGCUAAGAGGAAGCGUAUAUAACGCGGUUGAUGUAGUCGAACAUCUUCGUGAUCCAAAUUGCAGUCCGUCGCACGAUCUCAUCACGACCCGUCCCGUGAUCCCAUCACGAUCCAUCCUGAUCUAGUGCCGAACGAACGACACCUCCGCGUUCAGCACACAUACAACUCGAUGACGAUCUCCGCCUUCUUGAUCCAGCAAGAGGGGCGGAGAGGUAGAUGAGUUCUCUGGCAGCACGAAGGGUGUGGUGGUGGUGGUGGUGACCUAAUCCAGUAGGGCUCCGCCAAGCUAUGUCGGACUAAUAUAAACGAAGGAGACAAUCUAUAGAGGAGAGGGCAUCACGUGGCUUUUCACGUGUGUGUUGUCCUCAAAACCUCCACUAUAUAUAGGAGGAAGAGGUGGGAGGGAUGCCUUGCCUCCUCCUCCAAGGAGGAGAGGUUCGGACGAGCUAGAGGAGAGAGUCCUCCUCCAAUUCGGUUUGGUGGAGGACUCCCUUCCUAGUUGGUCCCCUCCUUCCCUUUUUUCUCCUUCCUUUCCUUUUUACACUUGACCGAAAUAGGCCUUAUUGGGCUGGCCGCAACCGCCCACUAGGGGCUGGUGCGCCACCUUUAGGCCUACUAGGUCCACUCCCGGGUGGGUGGCCCCUCCCGGUGAAACCCCCGAACUCAUUCGUCACUCCCAAUACUUUACGGGCAAUGCCCAAAAUCUUUCCGGAAUCCAAAUGCAACUUUCAUAUAUAUCAAUCUUUACCUCUGGACCAUUCCAGAGCUCCUCGUGACGUCCGGGAUCUCAUCCGGGACUCCGAACAACUUUUGGUCACCAACAUACAUAACUCAAUAGUACUGAAACGUCACCAAACCUUAAGUGUGUAGACCGUGCGGGUUCGAGAACUAUGUAGUCAUGAUCAAGACACUCUACAAUAAAUAACCAAUAACGGGACCUGGAUGCCCAUAUUGGUUCGUACAUAUUCUACGAAGAUCUUUAUCGGUCGAACCUCUGUGUCAAGGAUUCAGUUAAUCUCGUAUACUUUUCCCUUUGUCCAUCGGUGUGUUACUUGCCCGAGAUUUGAUCGUCCGUAUCUGCAUACCUAGUUCAAUCUCAUUAUCGACAAGUAUCUUUACUCGUUCCGUAAUACAAGAUCCCGUGACUAACUCCUUAGUCACAUUGCUUACAAGGCUUGUUGUGAUGUUGUAUUAUCGAGUGGGCCCUAGAGAGAACUCUCCGUCAUACGGAGUGACAAAUCCCAUUCUUGAUUCACGCCAACCCAACUGACACCCUCGGAGAUACCUGUAGAACACCUUUAUAGUCACCUAGUUACGUUGUGACGUUUGAUACACAUAAGGAAUUCCUCCGGCGUGUGAGAGUUGCAUGAUCUUAUGGCCAUAGGAAGAGAUACUUGACAUGCAGAAAACGGUAGCAAUAAACUGACACGAUCAUAUGCUAUGUUCAUAGUUUGGGUCUUGCCCAUCACAUCAUUGUCCUAAUGACGUGAUCCCGUUGUCAAAUGACAACUCAUGUCUAUGGCCAGGAAACCUUGACCAUCUUUGAUCAACGAGCUAGUCCUUAGAGGUUCACUAGGGACAUUGUGUUGUCUAUGUACCAAAAGCACUGAUCGGCGGAUUUGCCUCAACUGAGCACGUUUAUGAUAGAUGGGGCCCGACAGUCAUGCUAAUGUGGCGCAAAUUUCUUACACCCUUAGGUUGAACCGUUUUGCUGGACAGGGGCCCACUUAUCAACAUUUCACCACGUUCUUUUCUCCUCUCUAAUCUCUCUCUCCUCGUCCAGAAGCAUGCAGGAGUGUCGGCGCCGUCCAUUGCCAUGGCCCUUGAGCUCCAAGAACGACGUCGCUGUUAACCAUCCCUCUCAUGGAUCCGGCAAGAAUCGAGCAGCUCUAGGUACAGCGAUGGUGCGGCCGCGUGUGUGGUUACCGAGCUUGGCCUGCGGGACGACGAGCACGACGGAGCUGGGGCCGGUGGCGACGAGGCAGAUCCCAGUCGGCGGCUGCUCCUUGGCCUUGGCGCGGCCGCCGGCAGGCCUGCUGCCCCGCUUCAGCUCCGGCGACGGUGGCGUCUCCUUGGCCUUGGCGCGGCCGCCGGCAGGGCUGCUGCCCCGCUUCAUCUCCGGCGACGGCAGCUGCUCCUUGGCCUUGGCGCGGCCGCCGGUAGGCCUACCGCCGCGCUCCAUCUCCGGCGACGGCGGUUGCUCCUUGGCCUUGGCGUGGCCGCCGGCAGGCCUGCCGCCGCGCUCCAUCUCCGACGCCGGGAGGGGGCAGAUGCGGAGGUACACCUUGAGGCGCUCCUUCGACACCGCCGGCUGUGACAUGGUCGAGGAGGUAAGCGCAGUGGCGGCGGCCGCUGUGGAGGAGGGGGAUGCGGAGUGGCUGGCAAGAUUUGGGGGUAUAGUCUACAACGGUGGUGCUAAGUGUAAUAUUUUGUGUUAAGAGGAACCAAACUUUUUUCCUUCAUUUGUUUCAGUUACAGGUGGACCGCACAUGUUCACACAUGAUGAUAACGUUACCAAUUGUCAUCGUUACAUGUAAGAUGUUAAACGGUGCCACAUCAGCAUGACUGGCGGGCCCCAUCAGUCAUAAACAUGCUCAGCUGAGGCAAAUCCGUCGAUUAGUGUUUUCAGCAUAAAGAUUAUUAAAGACAUGGUGUUUUUUUGUAAAAAAAAUUGUAUUGUAGUGCUUUUCGCAAACCUAGCCUUCGGAGUGAUGGUUUUGUGCAAUUUACUCCUUAUAUGUUUCGGUACAUGAAAGCUGUGUGAGUUGGUUGCAUCACUCAAUGUGCAUUCCUCGUUAGUCUGUUCGUCCCCACCUUCGUCCUACCUACCUAGAGUACCUUUCACCGGAGGUCAAUGGCCUGAUCAAACUCGACACGACUCCAGCGUGCCAUUUUCCAACGCAGAAACUACUGAACCGAUGGAUCCAUCUUCUUCUUCCACCAGUGAGAAAGCAAGUUGCUCAGUGCAGCAGCAAACCACCUGAAAAAUGUCAUGUCUGCUGAUGCGAUACGACCGGAGAUUCCGGCCGGAAGGAUCGCUGGACGUGUAGUGCCCUGCGCUGAAUGGAUGCUCGGUCGAUGGCAGCAAGGAUUUGCGGUAGUGCGGUGGGCGGCUAGAGAGAUGGAUGGGUGGUCGAUCGACCCGUCAAUCUGGUCUGCUCGCCAGUGGACGCUGAAUCCUCCGCUACUAUUUUCUUGCUCCGGCGAUCAACCGCAUCUUUUCUUAUCCUUCACGCCCUGUUUGCAGCUGAUACGUCCGAUCUCUCUUUCCACCCAUGAUUCGACAUUUCUGCGAUCGCCACUGCGAUGAUUGUCACCGAGAAUUAUUUCCCCCCAAACCUGGAUCGUUCUUUGGUCGCCAAGAUAGCUUUGUUAUCCAAGAAAGAUAUGAGUGCUUGAUGUCAGUUAGCAGUACUUGUGAAAUAAUCUGGCGGGUCACUUGUUGCUGGACCAUCCUGUGAAAUGAUUUGCAUCAUACAUGCAUGCCUUUUAAUUUGUUUGUCUGGCAAUUUUCUGCCCCGAGUCAUUUACAACUAAAUGGCUACAGUGAAAGGGGUAGAGCUUAGUAAUCGAUUGGUUCGGAAAAGGGUUAGUGGCUAAUGAAUUAAACAAAGCUGUUGCUUCGGUGCUAAACUGAACUUAGGAGUCACGCAGCCGUAAAAGGGGGUCAUGAUUUGUCCGUGGGAUCGUCGGAGAUGGUCCCUGAGCAGCUGGGCUGCGCACGAUCAGACGGACAAGACGGUUUCAGUUAGCUGUAUAACGUGAUCAGCAUAAAUAAAAGACAGUUUCGGGGACACAAGCAGCGUGAAGUGAAGGGCAAAGUUAGUGCAGCCCACCUGCCCCCCAAUGGCUCAUGAGGAUUGCAUGCAUGUGCCGUGAAUUUUGUGUGCGAAAGUGAAUUUCUCACCAAGUAUCAUAGGCAUCUGGAGUAGUGAGUAGUGGCUGCUGGACAGAGUCCGUGAAGUUCGUCACCCUGCCUCUCUGAACCCAUGGCAGAGACGAGGAAGCACUUAACUGCAUGCGCUGCAAACGGUUUUGGCGGGAAACAUUCGAGGAUAAUUCGAACGAUCCGACACUGAAUUUUAAACCUUGAAUUUCAAUCAUCAGUCGGCCACGACGGUAGUAACAUUCACCUGAUUUGACAUCAUGGAAUGAGCCAGCUGCUAUCCUCUACUGCGGAAUCUCUCAAAAAAGCAUUCAGUGCUCGCACACGCAUGCUAAACAUAAUUAAGCUAGCAGGCUCUCUGGACAGAUAGGUUGGUUGCACAAGAAGCUAUGCUGCAGUGUGAAGUUCAGUUCCCCGAGCUCGUUGCCACCAUGGUCCCAUGUGACGGGGCCAGCCGAGAAGAUAGAUUCCUUCCAUUCCAUAAACUACUGGGUGGGAGAAGAGAAGUGCAAGCAUCGAGAUCAGAGAAAGCGGAAAGACGAGCGUGCCAAAGGAGGACGAGAGAGACGGGCGAGGAGUGGAGACAUGGGAGCAGACAGGAGGUACUCCAUUGCGAAGGGGAGGUGGGAUCAUGGUCAUGAAUGGCUACGCGACGAGCGGUGCUCGCCAGGGGUCGAGGCAGCCGGUGGUGAUCCCGAGACCGGGGAGCAUGGCGCAUCAUGAAAAUGCCGUGGCCGGCCGGCAAAGCGAGCGGGGACGACAUGCAUGAGAAGCAGGCUCAAAAGAAGCGGCGUCCGGCAUGCACCCCCGUCCUGUUGCACCUGCACGCACAGGCACGGCGUGCCGCCAUGGCAUGGCGCCGUCGUCUCCCUCGAUCCCCUUUUGCCUCCUUCCAUCUCUUUCGGUUUUGGUUCCCUUUUUCACUUUCUCUUUCCGCUUUUCGGGUGCGGCCAUGCCAUUGCCAUGCCCCCCAUGCAUCGCCUCCGCCAUGGCGACGCUCAAAACGUAGAACACCCGCUGGAAUGGGUGGACGGAUAUGGCCGAGCACAGUCGGCUCCACCGGGCUCGGCCUUCCUCAUCAGUCGUUCCUCGAAACCUCUUAACAUGUUAGCUCUUUAUUAUCUUUUGAAUUUGUUAAUGGUGUCCAAUGGGCUGAGGCUCUUAGAGCUUGGAGUAGCUUUUCAGCAACUGAUAUCAUAUUCAUGCCGGUGCUGAUAUGCUGAACUGGAAGUCUUCUUGUUCGCACGAAGAAGCAUGCAUGCGUGCUCCUCUUUACAGAUCGCUGCCAAUGAUCGCGGCAUGCGUGUGUUGGUGUGUUGUGUUCUUGCUGUGUGCUGUGGGAAUGUGAGUACCAUGUGCACAGAGGUUCAGAUAUAUCGUACGAAUCCCGAGAAACAAAAUGGAACCGAGGAAGCAACAGAUCCAAGAAACCCAGACCAGAGAGCAGAGAGCAGAGCAGCAUCAUUCCUUCGCGUCAAAAUGCGCGCGGAUGGUUUGGUUUUCGUAGUAUCGCUUUGGCUUUUCCUCCCUCCUUUGACAAUUUGAUUGACACAGGUGUGACUGGAUGAUUUUUGUUUCGGACCUACUACUUUUUUUUUUUUGAGGAAUUGUUUCGGGCCUACUCCAGCUCCAGGCCGUCGUCUGCUCGCUGGCUGCUCGGUUCUGUUAUGGUACUGGCGUUUUUUUCCCUCCGGUUUUUGGAAAAGUUGGUGAAAUAAAUAUUGUUUAAGGAUUUCAAAAUGUUUAUGAAAUAUCAAAAACUAUUCACGAAUUUCAAAAAUACUUUUGACCUUUAAGUAACGUUUACAAAAUUUAAAAAGAGGACAUCGAAACAAAUAAAAAUACUUAGAAAGUAGUAUAACAAGAGGAAGAAAAACUGACAGAAUCAUUAGAACCUAAAUAAAAUAAUGUGGGCAGGUUCGUAACACAAUGCGUAUAUUUGGCCCAGUCCAUUCGUGAAGUGCUCAGUGAAGGUUUCCGCAAAUUUUCUUUUGUUUAGGUAGUACUUUGAAUUUUUUUUGUUUAGGUAGUACUUUGAAAAAAAAAAUGUUUAGGUAGUACUUUGAAAAAAAUUUGUUUAGGUAGUACUUUGAAUUUUUUUUGUUUAGGUAGUACUUUGAAAAAAUGGAUAUUCGUAUAUUUGGCCAGUCCAUUCGUAAAGUGCUCAAUGGAUCAUGGCAAAGUGUUAUAUUACCAAUUGAAGGUCUAUGAAAAAAAAACAUCGGUCACAAGGGAGGGAGACUUGAGCGACCGGUUCAUUCGCUGGAUGGUGGAUCGACUAUCAAACAUUUUCGUUCAGUGGGCAGCUCGCGAUCGAGCAAACCAACGGCCACUUUAGCUUCCCCUUCGGCUACCAGGCCUCCAGGGCAAAUUACAAAAUUUCUAUAGACCAAAAAUAGAAAAUGCCAUGAUCCAAAAAUGUCAUCUCUUAAUAAACAAAAUAUUCCAUCCCAUCUAUCAAUAAACAAAAAAUAUCAUCUCUUAAUAAAAAUGUCAUAUCUUAAUAAUCAAAAAAUUUAUCUCUCAAAUAGGAGAUGACAUCUUUAAAUAUAAAAAUGCAAUCUCUUAACAUAAAAAUGACAUCUCUUAUAAAUAGUAAUAAAAUGUCAUCUCUUAAUAAAACAAAAAUUCUACCUUUUAACAUCAAAAUAUCAUCUCUUAACAUAAAAAAUGCAUCCCCUAUAAAAAGUAAAUAAUGUCAUCUCUUGAUAAUAAAAAAUGUCAUCUCUCAAUAUAAAAAUAAAUGUCAUUUCUUAAAUAAAUAAAAAUGUCAUCUCUUAUAAUAAUAAAAUGCCAUGUGACAUAGUUUCAAAGUUUAUAAAAAAUGCCAUGUUGAUUUUCCCCUAGAGAAAAUGUUAUCUGGUCAAAAAAAGGUGGGGACUAGGAUUCGAACCAAGGCGACCCAAACAAAAUUUUGUUCGGUCACACCUACCGGGCUGGCUCUUUUUUAUUUUCGAACACACUACUCGGCUAGCUCUUUUUUAUUUUUGAACACACUACUGGCUGGCUCUAGUACUUUGAAAAAAUGUUUCGCUAGCGAUUUCCUUAGGCUUUAUUUGGUUACACCCCUUUCCUUGGGGAUUGGAGGGGAUUUAGGGGGAUUUUGACUUGUAGGAGGUCUAAUCCCUCUCAAUCCCUGCCAAAAGACCUUUAAAUACAUGUUAAUCGAACGAAUCCUUACGAGGAAGAGGUUUGGGGAACCGACGUGCCACGGAUCCCGUGUCAGUAUUCAUGCAAAGGAAUACAAUGGGAAAUGGAGGUCGUUGUGAAAUUCUCAUCGCUGGUGGUCACUGGUUAUGAUCACCGAAAUAAAAAAGGUUGGUAUUUCACACUACCGUUGUGAAUCAAGAAAUACGUACUUGGUGCUCCUGUUUAAGUUUCAGACGAUAAAGUUUUGCUACCCGGUUUUUCCAUUUCGGGAAAAGUUAGCGAAAUAAAUAGUGUUCAAGGAUUAAAAAGUGUUAUUAUUUUUCUAAGGAGUUCAUAAACGUAUAAAUUCAUAAAUUUUAGAAGAUAUAUUCACAAAUUUAAAAAUAUUUGUGAACUCUAAGUAAUAUUGAAAAAAAGUUAAAUGAAUUGAAAAAAUAAAAAUACUUAAAACAUAGAAUUAUAAAAAUAAGAGAAAGAAAAUUUGGCAGAAUUCUUUUAGAACCUUCCAAAAAUAAUGUUGGAAGGUUGCUAAUAUAGUGCGCCAAUUUGGAGGGCGCGCGGUGGAGCAGGGGUGACUGUGUCGGAAGGCGCAUCGUGGAUGUGUAAGGAAGCGUGGUGCUGGCGAUCUGUUGCGAGGCGGUCGAGCAUGUGCGUGACGGCAACUAUGGGCAGAUCUGGGCCCAUGGCCGCUGUUGUGGUGCUCGGACGACGAUGAAUGUGUUUGUGGUAUUCCGGUCUGGAUGUGAGGAUUGACAGGUCCUUAUUUGGGGACCCCCUAUAUGCGGCAAGUAGUCGGCAAAGCGCCCAAGGACAGUUUACUUGGACCGGCCCAUUAUAGUGCGCAGGAGAACAAGGGUUAAAAAUUAUAAAAUAGGUCCCCGAAAACUGGGAUUCGAACUUGCCACAACGCGCUGAUGUGCGCACGAGGAAAACCAUCACGAUCGAAGUGCUCUUGCGACAGAUAUGCAUCACCAAACUAGAAGAACUGUACAAAUAUCAAAACUAAAUAUCCUUCAAUAAAUAUAUAUUUUUGAAAUUUCCAGAUAUCAUGAACUUAUCUUGAAAUUCCCGCACUUAAUUAAAACACAAACAACCUUGCAAAUCUCAAACAAUUUUCUAAAACGCAACUUUUUUAUAUAAAUUUAACAUUUCUCAGAAAAAGAACGAAUUAUAAAAAUAGUGAAUUUAUUUUGAAAUUUCAAAUUUUUUCUGAGAUCAUAAAAAUAUUUUAAGUUUUGAAAAAAUGGAAAAUAUAAACACUUUUGAAAUUCAGAAACAAAAAAGUUCAAACAGAACAUUUUUAAUACAACAAUUUUCUAUUUUAUACAUUUUUGGAAAUGCAAACAAACUUUGAAAUAUAGGAACAUUUGUUGAAAUUGCAAACAAAAAGUUAAAACCACGAACAUUUUUCUGAAAUGGUCAAUGAAUUUUCAAAACGAGAACAAUUUUUGAAAUUCCUAAACAUAUUUUGAAACUUGGAUACUUUUCUGAAAUUGUGAAAACUUUGAAAACAGGAGCAUUAUUUGAAAUUACCGAACUUUUUUUACAGACGAAUAAUUUCUGCCAUUAUGAAAAAGUAAUUAAAAACUGGAACAUUUUUAGAAAUAGAAGAAAUUUUAAAAUCACAACAUUUUUUGUAUUUGUGAAAAAAAUGAAAAUUUAGGGGAAAAAUUGAACGCCUGAACAAUUUUUGAAACACCUAACAAAAUUUGGAAAAAGCAAACAUUUGUUCUUUCAAGUUUGCAUUUUAUUUUUGAAAAUAUCUCGAACAUAUUUUGAAUUUGUGAACAAAAAUUGAAAUAUGGGGUACAAUUCUGAACUUCUCAACCUUUUUAAAAACCAGAACAAAAAUUACACAAAAGAAACAUUUUUUCAAACAUGCGAACGUUUUAUGGAAACAAUGAAAUUUCACAAAAUUAUGAACAAAAUUGAAAAUUCAUGAACAUUUUUUGAACAUCUGAACAAUUUUUAAACCUUGAAUAAAAGUUGGAAAAGGCAAAGAUUUUUUCAAUUAGGCAAACAAUUUUUGAAAAUCAUGUAUAUUUGUCAACAUUUUUUUUAAUAGGUACUUAUUUUGAAAUUCUAAACAAUAUUUGAAAUUCACGUACAUUAUCGAAAUUCGGGUACAAAAUUCAAAAACAAGAACAUUUGUGUAUAAAAUAUAAAAAUUGUGAGAAAAAUAAUAAAAAAAUUGAACAUUUUUAAAAACACAAAUAUCUUUAAAUAAAGAAAAUAAACUUAAAGUAGGAAAAUAAAUAAGAAUAAGCUUAAAUUGUGAAAAACAGAGAACAACAAAUUUUGUAACCGUGAACAUUUGUUGAAAUCUGAACAAAAUUGCAAAAACACGAACAUUUUUGAAAAAAAACUUUUUUUAUUUAUAAAUGUUUAAAAAUAAGAAUGUAUUUUAAAAAAAUAGAAAUAAAAAAGGAAAGAAAAGAAGAGAAAAGGUAAAACAGAAAACAUUAACAAAAAAGGAAAUAAAAAUAAAAAUGAAGGGAAAAGGGAAAAAGUAUCAAGAAAAAAAACGAAAAAGGAACGGAAAUAGAAAUAAACUGAUCAGGAAACUUUUAUAAGGUUCCCAAAACUAGGAAAACUAGGUGGACCUUCGAGAAUGUUCCCAAAACAAGAAUCUAUACAAUGCACGCCUUACUUUUAAAUGGCCCGGCCCGUGUGGGUCGAUGCAUGUGCGGUGCCCCGACUAUUUAACACAAACUGCGUCAAAUAGGAAAUUCCCCAUAUUUGAUGGUCGGUGUGUUUGGUGGAGGCAGAAGUGGGCCGGUGGUGGACAGAACGAAUUUGGGCACCCAUGCCCUGAUGUGGUGGUGGUGUCCUCUGGGCGCGGUAGUCGUGGUGCGGGCUCGAUCCGAGCGGGGAUGUGGUUGCCAUGUUCCCUGAUUUGGCUACCUUGGUGGUGGUGGCUGCUAUGCUACAAGACGCGUCUCACCUUUUAGAAAACGUUGCAUGGGAAAUAAAAAAUUCUACGCAUACGCAAGAUUUAUCCAUGAAGAUAUCUAGUUUACGAGAGGGAGAGUGUGUUUGCAUAUCCUUGUAGACCAUUAAGCACAAGCGUUAGAGACGUGGUUGAUGUAGUCGUACGUCUUCACGAUCCAAUCACGGUCCGUGCCGAUCUAGCGCCAAAUGGAUGACACCUCCGCGUUCAGCACACGUGCAUCUCGAUGACGUCUCCGCCUCCCUGAUCCAUCGAGCGACGACGAAGUAGUAGAUGGGAUCUCCGACAGCAUGGCGGCGUGGCGAAGGUGGUGGUGCACCUACUUCAGUUGGCUUCGCCAAGCGCUGCAGAACUAGGAGGAAGGAGAAAAGGGAGGGAGAGAGAGUAACUGUCAAGGCGUGGGGAAGAGGUGCAUGGCAGCCCCCCCACCCCUCCUUUAUUUAUAGGGCAGGGGGAGGUGCACCGGUGAAAAGACCUCGAUGACGCCUAGAGGGGGGGGGGGUGAAUAGGCUAUUUAAAAACUUCUUCAGAUUUGGCUUGAACCUGAUGCGGAAAUAAACUAAGAGGGUACUUGUCAAGCACAAAUCCUAAAUGCACUAGGCACUGCAACGUGUAUCAACAACACGAUCUACUAAGAUGGACACAAUGCAGUUACUAACAAGCACAAGUAAGUUACACAAACUUACUUGAGCUAUAUCACACGACAAGUAGGUGAACAACACAAGAUACUAGAUCACACUAUAUCACACGAUAUAUCAAGGGCUGCAAGUAUGUACGUCCGAAUAUAGAGGGUAUGCUUGAAUGAUUAAUCUUGUACAAGAAAUGGCCAACACAAUAUAAUGAGCACAAGCAAUAUGCAAUGUAUGUAUGCUCAAAUAACACAAGUAAACCACAAGUAAGGAGUUAGGGUUAAGGAUAACCAAGGUCACUGAGACGAAGAUGUAUCCCGAUGUUCACUUCCUUGGAGGGAAGCUAGUCACCGUUAGAGUGGUGGAUGUUACCACGAAGGCACACCAACGCCACGAAGGCUCACCCUAUUCUCCCUUUGAGAUAACUCCACGAAGGCGUUUCUCAACCACUAGUGGUAAGCCUUUGAGGUGGCUUCCAAACCCUCACAAACUUUUCCGGGGGAAAUCACACGGAUUGAUUCCUCUCCGAAGAACUCCUACCGCCUAGGAGUCUCCAACCUCCAAGAGUAACAAGAUCACGGGGAAUGCUCAAAACUUGCUCAAAUCACAAAUAGCUUGGGUUGAGAGAAGGAGAGGGAGAAGAUCUAUCUUUUGAUUGGAACAACUCUCAAAGGGGCUCACAAAUGCUCUUGGGAUCUAAGAUUUGGAGUGAGCAAAUGUGUGUGAGGUGGAAAUGUGUUCUUAUGAGGAUAAGGCUGUGUUGGGCAACCCUCUCACGAAGUGGGAGGGGGUAUUUAUAGUGUGGAGAGAAAAAGAGCCGUUGGGGACACUUUAAGUCACACAGGGUCCGGACGUCCGACAGUUGUCGGAAGUCCGGGCUUCCGUGAGGGGCCGGACGUCCGACCGGGGUCGGACGUCAGAGACUUUUAGGCAUGACUGGAACUCUUCUGAAUUCGCCCUANNNNNNNNNNNNNNNNNNNNNNNNNNNNNNNNNNNNNNNNNNNNNNNNNNNNNNNNNNNNNNNNNNNNNNNNNNNNNNNNNNNNNNNNNNNNNNNNNNNNCUUAAGAUUACGAGCCCAGUCUACAAAGUUGCUUCCAUCAUCUUUCAACUUAGCUUUCUCUAGGAACGUAUUAAAAUUCAGGAUGACUGUCGCGUGAGCCAUGAUCUACAACACAAAUAUAUUCAAAGUGGACUUAGACUAUGUUCAAGAUAAUUAGAGUUUAACUUAAUCAAAUUAUUCGCUAAACUCCCACUCAAAAAGUACAUCUCUCUAGUCAUUUGAGUGGUUCAUGAUCCACUUACACUAGCUCAAGUCCGAUCAUCACGUGAGUUGAGUAUAGUUUCAGUGGUAAGCAUCCCUAUGCUAAUCAUAUCAUCCAUAUGAUUCAUGAUCGACCUUUCGGUCUCAUGUGUUCCGAGGCCAUUCUGCACAUGCUAGGCUCAUCAAGCUUAACCCGAGUGUUCCGCGUGCGCAACUAUUUUGCACCCGUUGUAUGUGGACGUUGAGUCUAUCACACCCGAUCAUCACGUGGUGUCUCGAAACGACGAACUGUAGCAACGGUGCACAGUCGGGGAGAACACAAUUUCGUCUUGAAAUUUUAGUGAGAGAUCACCUCAUAAUGCUACCAUCGUUCUAAGAAAAAUAAGGUGCAUAAAAGGAUUAACAUCACAUGCAAUUCAUAAGUGACAUGAUAUGGCCAUCAUCACGUGCUUCUUGAUCUCCAUCACCAAAGCACCGGCACGAUCUUCUUGUCACCGGCGCCACACCAUGAUCUCCAUCAACGUGUUGCCAUCGGGGUUGUCGUGCUACUCAUGCUAUUACUACUAAAGCUACAUCCUAGCAAAAUAGUAAACGCAUCUGCAAGCACACACGUUAGUAUAAAGACAACCCUAUGGCUCCUGCCGGUUGCCGUACCAUCGACGUGCAAGUCGAUAUUUCUAUUACAACAUGAUCAUCUAAUACAUCCAAUAUAUCACAUCACAUCAUUGUCCAUAUCGCAUCACAAGCAUACCCUGCAAAAACAAGUUAGACGUCCUCUAAUUUUGUUGUUGCAUGUUUUACGUGGUGACCAUGGGUAUCUAGUAGGAUCGCAUCUUACUUACGCAAACACCACAACGGAGAUAUAUGAGUUGCUAUUUAACCUCAUUCAAGGACCUCCUCGGUCAAAUCCGAUUCAACUAAAGUUGGAGAAACUGACACUUGCCAGUCAUCUUUGAGCAACGGAGUUACUCGUAACGAUGAAACCAGUCUCUCGUAAGCGUACGAGUAAUGUCGGUCCAAGCCGCUUCAAUCCAACAAUACCGCGGAAUCAAGAAAAGACUAAGGAGGGCAGCAAAACGCACAUCACCGCCCACAAAAACUUUUGUGUUCUACUCGAGAAGACAUCUAUGCAUGAACCUAGCUCAUGAUGCCACUGUUGGGGAACGUCGCAUGGGAAACAAAAAAUUUCCUACGCGCACGAAGACCUAUCAUGGUGAUGUCCAUCUACGAGAGAGGAUGAGUGAUCUACGUACCCUUGUAGAUCGUACAGCAGAAGCGUUAGUGAACGCGGUUGAUGUAGUGGAACGUCCUCACGUCCCUCGAUCCGCCCUGCGAACAAUCCCGCGAUCAGUCCCACGAUCUAGUACCGAACAGACGGCACCUCCGCGUUCAGCACAUGUACAGCUCGACGAUGAUCUCGGCCUUCUUGAUCCAGCAAGAGAGACGGAGAGGUAGAUGAGUUCUCUGGCAGCGUGACGCCGCUUNNNNNNNNNNNNNNNNNNNNNNNNNNNNNNNNNNNNNNNNNNNNNNNNNNNNNNNNNNNNNNNNNNNNNNNNNNNNNNNNNNNNNNNNNNNNNNNNNNNNUGGAUGAGUCUAAGCUACGUAGAAGAAGAUAAAGAGAAGAAGAAGUAAAAGGAGGAGGAGGAGGAGGAGGAGGAGGAGAAGGAGAAGGAAGAGGAGAAGAAGAAGAAAAGAAGAAGGAGAAGGAGAAGGAGGAAGAAGGAGGAAGAAUAAGGAGAAGGAGGAGCUCCUUCUCCUUCUUCUCCUUCUCCUUAUCCUCAUCCUUCUCCUUCUUCUUCUUCUCUUCUUCUUCUUCUUCCUUCCUUUCAUUUUUCCUCUUUCUUCUCCUCUUGUCCCCUUCUUCGGGCUAAAUUGCCUAAGAAUGCCUUUUUGGACCUAAUUAUGUCAUUUCGAGGAUAAUUAGCUAAGUAUAAGUCAUGUUUUAUUAAAUAGACCAUUUAGGAGCUAACUAAGCUAAUUAUGUCAUCUAGGUGGAACCCUAGCUAACUAUAGGUCGUUUCGGAGCUAACUUGGGUAAAAUAGGUCAUUCUGGAGCAAACUAUGCUUANNNNNNNNNNNNNNNNNNNNNNNNNNNNNNNNNNNNNNNNNNNNNNNNNNNNNNNNNNNNNNNNNNNNNNNNNNNNNNNNNNNNNNNNNNNNNNNNNNNNNNNNNNNNNNNNNNNNNNNNNNNNNNNNNNNNNNNNNNNNNNNNNNNNNNNNNNNNNNNNNNNNNNNNNNNNNNNNNNNNNNNNNNNNNNNNNNNNNNNNNNNNNNNNNNNNNNNNNNNNNNNNNNNNNNNNNNNNNNNNNNNNNNNNNNNNNNNNNNNNNNNNNNNNNNNNNNNNNNNNNNNNNNNNNNNNNNNNNNNNNNNNNNNNNNNNNNNNNNNNNNNNNNNNNNNNNNNNNNNNNNNNNNNNNNNNNNNNNNNNNNNNNNNNNNNNNNNNNNNNNNGGGGAAUAGGUCAUCUUGUAGCUACGUAAGCCUUAUUAUGUCAUUUAGGAGAGAACUUAGCUAACUGUAGGUCAUUUUUUAUUAAAUAAGUCAUUUUGGAGCUAACUAAGCUAAUUAUGUCAUUUCAUAGGAUAAUUAGCCAAUUUUGGCCUUUCUUGGAUGAGUCUAAGCUACGUAGAAGAAGAGAAAGAGAAGAAGAAGUAAAAGAAAGAGGAGCAGGAGGAGGAGAAGGAGAAGGAAGAGGAGAAGAAGAAGAAAAGAAGAAGGAGAAGGAGAAGGAGGAAGAAGGAGGAAGAAGAAGGAGAAGGAGGAGCUCCUUCUCCUACUUCUCCUUCUCCUUAUCCUCCUCCUUCUCCUUCUUCUUCUUCUCUUCUUCUUCUUCUGUUGGAAAUAUGCCCUAGAGGCAAUAAUAAAUUAGUUAUUAUUAUAUUUCUUAGUUCAUGAUAAUCGUUUAUUAUCCAUGCUAUAAUUGUAUUGAUUGGAAACACAAUACUUGUGUGGAUACAUAGACAAAACACUGUCCCUAUUAAGCCUCUAGUUGACUAGCUCGUUGAUCAAAGAUGGUCAAGGUUUCCUGGCCAUAGGCAAGUGUUGUCACUUGAUAACGGGAUCACAUCAUUAGGAGAAUCAUGUGAUGGACUAGACCCAAACUAAUAGACGUAGCAUGUUGAUCGUGUCAUUUUGUUGCUACUGUUUUCUGCGUGUCAAGUAUUUGUUCCUAUGACCAUGAGAUCAUAUAACUCACGGACACCGGAGGAAUGCUUUGUGUGUAUCAAACGUCGCAACGUAACUGGGUGACUAUAAAGAUGCUCUACAGGUAUCUCCAAAGGUGUUCGUUGAGUUAGUAUAGAUCGAGACUGGGAUUUGUCACUCCGUGUGACGGAGAGGUAUCUCGGGGCCCACUCGGUAAUACAACAUCACACACAAGCCUUGCAAGCAAUGUAACUUAAUGUAAGUUGCGGGAUCUUGUAUUACGGAACGAGUAAAGAGACUUGCCGGUAAAUGAGAUUGAAAUAGGUAUGCGGAUACUAACGAUCGAAUCUCGGGCANNNNNNNNNNNNNNNNNNNNNNNNNNNNNNNNNNNNNNNNNNNNNNNNNNNNNNNNNNNNNNNNNNNNNNNNNNNNNNNNNNNNNNNNNNNNNNNNNNNNUCGAAAUGACAUAAUUAGGUCGAAAAAUGCAUUCUUAGCCAAUUUAGCCUGAAGAAGGGGACAAGAGGAGAAGAAAGAGAAAAAAUGAAAGGAAGGAAGAAGAAGAAGAAGAGAAGAAGAAGAAGGAGAAGGAGGAGGAUAAGGAGAAGGAGAAGAAGGAGGAGAUGAAGGAGAAGGUGCUCCUCCUUCUCCUUAUUCUUCCUCCUUCUUCCUCCUUCUCCUUCUCCUUCUUCCUUUCUUCUUCUUCUCCUCUUCCUUCUCCUUCUCCUCCUCAUCCUCCCCCUCCUCCUCCUUCUUUUACUUCUUAUUCUCUUUCUCUUCUUCUACGUAGCUUAGACUCAUCCAAGAAAGGCUAAAUUGGCUAAUUAUCCUACGAAAUGACAAUUAGCUUAGUUAGCUCCAAAAUGACCUAUUUAAUAAAAAAUGACCUCAGUUAGCUAAGUUCUCUCCUAAAUGACAUAAUAAGGCUUACGUAGGUGCAAUAUGACCUAUUCCCCCUAANNNNNNNNNNNNNNNNNNNNNNNNNNNNNNNNNNNNNNNNNNNNNNNNNNNNNNNNNNNNNNNNNNNNNNNNNNNNNNNNNNNNNNNNNNNNNNNNNNNNCACAUCUGCAGGCCUCGGACGACCGACCCCUAUCGGACGUCCGGCCGCUGAUGAAUUCAGAAGAGUUCCAGUCAUGCCUAAAAGUCUCUGACGUCCGACCCCGGUCGGACGUCCGGCCCCUCACGGAAGCCCGGACUUCCGACAACUGUCGGACGUCCGGACCCUGUGUGACUUAAAAUGUCCCCAACGGCUCUUUUUCUCUCCACACUAUAAAUACCCCCCUCCCACUUCGUGAGAGGGUUACCCAACACAGCCUUAUCCUCAUAAGAACACAUUUCCACCUCACACACAUUUGCUCACUCCAAAUCUUAGAUCCCAAGAGCAUUUGUGAGCCCCUUUGAGAGUUGUUCCAAUCAAAAGAUAGAUCUUCUCCCUCUCCUUCUCUCAACCCAAGCUAUUUGUGAUUUGAGCAAGUUUUGAGCAUUCCUCAUUGAAAAGGAUUGAGAUGGACCUAGAGGGGGGGUGAAUAGGUACAAAUCCAAAUUUUAACAAUUACUUAGCAAUUUUAGGCUAGAGUGCGGAAUAUAAGUGUAAGCCUAAUAAUUGCUAUGACAAAGAGUAAGCUAUUAGGAGUGAAGCAAGGCAAGUGGUAAACAAUAAGCAAAUACAAGUAUGUAAUAAGGAUUAACACAAGUAGAGAGUUAGGGUUAGGAAUAACCGAAACUCCGAGAGAGACAAGGAUGUAUCCCGAUGUUCACUUCCUUGGAGGGAAGCUACGUCACCGUUAGAGGGGCGGAUGUUACCACGAAGGCACACCAAAGCCACGAAGGCUCACCCUAUUCUCCCUUUGAGAUAACUCCACGAAGGCGUUUCUCAACCACUAGUGGUAAGCCUUGAGGUGGCUUCCAAACCUUCACAAACUUUUUGGGGGAUAUCACAAUGGUUUGAUUCCUCUCCGAAGACUCCUACCGCCUAAGAGUCUCCAACCUCCAAGAGUAACAAGAUCACGGGGAUUGCUCAAAACUUGCUCAAAUCACAAAUCACUUUGGUGGGAAGGAGGAGAGGGAGACGAUCUAUCUUUUGAUUGGAACAACACUCAAAAGGACUCACAAAUGCUCUUGGGAUCUAGGAUUUGGUGUAGACAAGAGUGAAUGAGAGGAAAGGUGUUCUUGGAUGUGUCUUAGCUGUGUUGAACACCCUUUCACGAGGUGGGAGAAGAGUAUUUAUAGUGUGGAGUGAAAUCCAGCUGUUGGAGGUGCAAUAAGUCACACAGGGUCUGGACGUCCGACACUUGUCGGAAGUCAGGGCGUCCGUGAGGGGCCGGACGUCCGACAGGGGUCGGACGUCCGAGACCUGUAGGCAUGCCUGGAACUCUUCUGAAUUCAUCAGCGGCCGGACGUCCGACAGGAGUCGGUCGUCCGAGGCAUGUAGAUAUUUGAAUUCAUCAGCAUACGGACGUCCGGAAUGGCCCGGAAGUCCGUGUUAUACAGCACAAUUUCUACUGGUGGUGGCUUCCGGAUUUCCGAUGGGUGUCGGACAUCCGGCGCUCGGACGUCCGGAGGGAGCCGGAUUUCCGAGAUAUAGUGCACACAAACUACUGGUGUUGCCCUCCGGAUUUCCGGAGCUUGGCCGGACGACUGGCCCUCGGACGUCCGGAGGGAGCCGGAUUUCCGAGAUCUAAGCCUAACAAACUACUGGUAUCUGGCUGCGGAUUUCCGAAGCCAGCCGGACGUCCAGCCCUCGGACGUCCGGAGGGAGCCGGAUGUCCGAGGAGAUUUGACAUANNNNNNNNNNAGAUUUAUGGAGCUUGGCCGGACGACCGGCCCUCGGAUGUCCGGAGGGAGCCGGAUUUCCGAGAUAUAAGCCUAACAAACUACUGGUGUCUGGCUGCGGAUUUCCGAAGCCAGCCGGACGUCCGGCCCUCGGACGUCCGGAGGGAGCCGGAUGUCCGAGGAGAUUUGACAUAUGUUGAAUUUUAGAGAGUGGACAGUAUGUGGUGUUUGAUAUGGUUGUAGAGAUGUGGUAUGAGCAAGUUUAUCGCAAAGCCUGUGAUCCCCUCUUAAUAGUGCGGGAUCCCUAUACUCAAUAUUAGUAAACUCAAAAGACUAUUCUACAACAUCUCUUCUUAAUCCCGAGUCUUCUCGAAAUAUAACUCACCAAUCUUUUCAGGCAACCUUUGGCACAUAAAUCUUAAUAUACUAAAGUACUUGCCGUCCUGAGAUACACUCAACAAAUAGGAUUAGUUUCCUAUGUAUGUGUUGUCAUUAACACCAAAAUACAAUUAGGGGCAUAGCAUGCACUUUCACCCGUGAUCUUGUUACUCUUGGAGGUUGGAGACUCCUAGGCGGUAGGAGUUCUUCGGAGAGGAAUCAAUCCGUGUGAUUUCCCCCGGAAAAGUUUGUGAGGGUUUGGAAGCCACCUCAAAGGCUUACCACUAGUGGUUGAGAAACGCCUUCGUGGAGUUAUCUCAANNNNNNNNNNNNNNNNNNNNNNNNNNNNNNNNNNNNNNNNNNNNNNNNNNNNNNNNNNNNNNNNNNNNNNNNNNNNNNNNNNNNNNNNNNNNNNNNNNNNUCAGUGCCAAGUGCCAGUUUCUGUUUUUUCGUGUUUUUGGCCCAUUUUCAGACGGAGUCCAAAUGGAAUGAAACUUUAGGAUGAUUUUUUUUGGACCAAAAGAGACCCCCAAAGCUUUGGGAGAAGGCCAGAUGGACCACGAGGGAGUCACAAGCCCUCAUGCCGCCACCCCCCCCCCCCCNNNNNNNNNNNNNNNNNNNNNNNNNNNNNNNNNNNNNNNNNNNNNNNNNNNNNNNNNNNNNNNNNNNNNNNNNNNNNNNNNNNNNNNNNNNNNNNNNNNNNNNNNNNNNNNNNNNNNNNNNNNNNNNNNNNNNNNNNNNNNNNNNNNNNNNNNNNNNNNNNNNNNNNNNNNNNAAUCAAUUCAGAAACCCCCCAAAAAACCUAGAUCGGGAGUUCCGCCGCCGCAAGCCUCUGUAGCUACCAAAAACCAAUCUGGAGCCCGUUCUGGCACCCUGCCGGAGGGGGGGAAUCCAUCUCCGGUGGCCAUCUUCAUCAUCCCGACGAUCUCCAUGACGAGGAGGGACUAGUUCUCCCUCGGGGCUGAGGGUGUGUACCAGUAGCUAUGUGUUUGAUCUCUCUCUCUCGUGUUCUUGAGAUGUCUUGAUCUCGACGUACCAUGGGCUUUGCUACUAUAGUUGGAUCUUAUGAUGUUCUUCCCCCUCUCCUUCUUGUAAUGAAUUGAGUUUCCCCUUUGAAGUUAUCUUNNNNNNNNNNACAUGUUUUGUAUGCAUGAAUAUGCUAUUUUAUAUCUUUUCUGGGACUAACCUAUUAACUCAGUGCCAAGGGCCAGUUUCUGUUUUUUCGUGUUUUUGGCCCAUUUUCAGACGGAGUCCAAAUGGAAUGAAACUUUACGAUGAUUGUUUUUGGACCAAAAGAGACCCCCGAAGCUUUGGGAGAAGGCUAGAUGGGCCACGAGGGAGUCACAAUCCCUCACGCCGCCACCCCCCCCCCCCCCNNNNNNNNNNNNNNNNNNNNNNNNNNNNNNNNNNNNNNNNNNNNNNNNNNNNNNNNNNNNNNNNNNNNNNNNNNNNNNNNNNNNNNNNNNNNNNNNNNNNNNNNNNNNNNNNNNNNNNNNNNNNNNNNNNNNNNNNNNNNNNNNNNNNNNNNNNNNNNNNNNNNNNNNNNNNNNNNNUAUAAAUUUAGAAACCCCCAAAAAAACCUAGAUCGGGAGUUCCGCCACCGCAAGCCUGUGUAGCCACCAAAAACCAAUCUGGAGCCCGUUCCGGCACCCUGCUGGAGGGGGAAUCCAUCUCCGGUGGCCAUCUUCAUCAUCCCGGCGAUCUCCAUGACGAGGAGGGAGUAGUUCUCCCUCGGGGCUGAGGGUAUGUACCAGUAGCUAUGUGUUUGAUCUCUCUGUCUUGUGUUCUUGAGAUGUCUUGAUCUCGAUGUACCAUGGGCUUUGCUACUAUAGUUGGAUCUUAUGAUGUUUUUCCCCUCUCCUUCUUGUAAUGAAUUGAGUUUCCCCUUUGAAGUUAUCUUAUCGAAUUGAGUCUUUGAGAACACUUGAUGUAUGUCUUGCACGUGUCUAUAUGCUGUGAUCAACUUGCGGGUUUGUGACAAUUGGGAACCUAUGCAUAUGGGUUGGCACACGUGGAUUCAUGUGAGUACUUGAUGUAUAUUUUGGUGAUCAACUUGCGGGUUCGUGACAUUGGGAACCUAUCCACGCGGGUUGGCACACGUUUUGACUCUCUGGUAGAAACUUUGCGGCACUCUUNNNNNNNNNNCAUUCUGAGAUUAUGUGAUGCAUAUCGUAUAAUCAUGCCCACAGAUACUUGAGGUGACAAUGGAGUAUCUAGGUGACAUUAGGGUCUUGGUUGAUAUGUAUCUUAAGGUGUUAUUCUAGUACGAACUCUAUGAUGGAUCGAACGGAAAGAAUAGCUUCGUGUUAUUUUACUACGGACUCUUGAAUAGAUCGAUCAGAAAGAAUAACUUUGUGGUGGUUUCGUACCCGACAAUAAUCUCUUUGUUUGUUCCCCGCUAUUAGUGACUUUGGAGUGACUCUUUGUUGCAUGUUGAGGGCUAGUUAUAUCCAAUUAUGUUAUCAUUGUUGAGAGAACUUCACUAGUGAAAGUAUGAACCCUAGGCCUUGUUNNNNNNNNNNGAUCCAAUUAUGUUAUAAUUGUUGAGAGAACUUCACUAGUGAAAGUAUGAACCCUAGGCCUUGUUUCCACGCAUGGCAAUACCAUUCGUGCUCACUUUUACCAUUUGUUACCUUGCUGUUUUUGUAAUUUCAGAUUACAAAAACCUAUAUCUACCGUCCAUAUUCCACUUGUAUCACCAUCUCUUCGCCGAACUAGUGCACCUAUACAAUUUACCAUUGUAUUGGGUGUGUUGGGGACACAAGAGACUCUUUGUUAUUUGGUUGCAGGGUUGCUUGAGAGAGACCAUCUUCAUCCUACGCCUCCCACGGAUUGAUAAACCUUAGGUCACCCACUUGAGGGAAAAUUGCUACUGUCCUACAAACCUCUGCACUUGGAGGCUCAACAACGUUUACAAGGAGAAGGUUGCGUAGUAGACAUCAAGUUCUUUUCUGGCGCCGUUGCCAAGGAGGUUAGCACUUGAAGGUAUAUCUUUAGAUCUUGCAAUCGAAUCUUUUUGUUUCUUGUUCUUUCGCUAGAAAACUACAAAAAAAAAUGGAAUUGAGGAUCCCUCAUAUGCUCCAUCUUUUCAAUGUCUUUCGUGAGCAUGAUGGGAAGGAAAAUUGUGCUCAAGUGCUGAAAGAAGAAUUACAUAGAAUGCUUGGCAUACAAUAUGUGAAUGAUGAGCAUGAUUGCAAUGUUUUUAGCAUGAAUUCUAUGAAUAGCCAUGAUGCUAAUGAUAUGCAAAGCCACAAACUUGGGGAUGCUAUAUUUGAUGAAGAUGAUCUUUUUAGUUCUUCCACUUUGAAUGGUCAAAAUUAUUUUGAUGAAAGCAUGCCCCCUAUCUAUGAUGAUUAUUGUGAGGAUACUUAUGCUUUGAAAAAGAGGGAUGAUAAAGCUUGUCAUACUUUCGAAAACCCCUUUGCUAAACCUUGCUUUUUCAUUAUGGACACAAUUUAGUGCUCAAGUCUUUUACGAUACUCCCACUACUAUUCUUGAGAAUAGAUUUCCUUAUGUGGAGAGUAGUAAAAUUUCUAUGCUUGUAGAUCAUGAAAAGAAAGCUUUAGGUGUUGGUUAUAUUGUUGAAUUCAUUCAUGAUGCUACUGAAAAUUACUAUGAGAGAGGAUCAUAUGCUUCUACUUAUUGCAAUAGUACCAAGCUUCCUCUCCAUAUGUUGAAAUUUUUGAAGCUAUGCUUGUUUUGCCUUCCUAUGCUAGUUGAUUCUUGCUCCAAUAAAUUGGUUGAUCACAAAAUCCCUAUGCAUAGGAAGUGGGUUAGACUUAAAUGUGCUAGCCAUUUGCUCCAUGAUGCUCUCAUUGUGUUUCAAUCCUUACCUUUCAUGUGAGCAUCAUUGAAAUCAAUGCCUAGCUAAGGGCGUUAAACGAUAGCGCUUGUUGGGAGGCAACCCAAUGAAUAAAAUUUUCUUUGCUUUUUUGCUUCCUGUUUUGUUUUCUCCACACCAUCAUAAUUCUGUUAUGAUUGUGUUUUUUGUGUUUCUUUUUGCGUUUGUGCCAAGCAAAACCGUUAUGAUUAGUCUUGGGGAUGAUCGUUUGGUCAUGCUGGAAAAGACAGGAACUUUCUGCCCACGAAAAGAAUUUUCAUUUUUUUCUGUAAGAGCUUUGAGUUGAUUCUUUUUGCUGCUGAUUGCUACGCAAAUUCUUCAGACUGUCGUAAUGUUUCAGAAUUUUUGAAGUACCAGAGGUAUACAAAAUAUACAAAUUGCUACAGACUGGUCUGCUGUUAACAGAUUCUGUUUUUGUUGUGUUGGUUGCUUAUUUUGAUGAAACCAUGGAUAGUAUCGGGGGGUAUUAGCCAUGGAAGAUUAAAAAUACAGUAACCCAACAUCAGCAUAAGUAUAAUUUAAGUUUUCUACAGUACCUAAGGAAGUGGUGGUUUGCUUUCUCAUACUAAUGUUAUCACGAGUUUCUGUUUAAGUUUCGUGUUGUGAAGUUUUCAAGUUUUGGGUGAAGUUCUUAUGGACAAAGAGAUAAAGAGUGGAAAGAGCUCAAGCAUGGGGAUGCCCAAGGCACCCCAAGAGAUUCAAGGAUGUCGUAAAAGCCUAAGCUUGGGGAUGCCCCGGGAAGGCAUCCCCUCUCUCGUCUUCAAUCCAUCGGUAACGUUACUUGGGGCUAUAUUUUUAUUCACCACAUGAUAUGUGUUUUGCUUGGAGCGUCUUGUAUCGUAGGAGCCUUUUAUUUUUGUUGUGUCACAAUAUUCCUUGCUGCACACCUAGAGAGAUAGACAUGCACUCACCGUGAUUUCGUCGAGCUUCACUUAUAUCCUUUGGUAGACAAUUCAGCUCACAUGUGCUUCACUUAUAUCUUUUGAGCUAGACACUUUUGCUCUAUGUGCUUCACUUAUAUCUUUUAGAGCACAGCGGUGCGUGGCUUGGUAGUUGAUCUAUGCUUUGAAAGUAGUCUCAAAAGGGGUAGUUAUCCAAAGGGAUACGAAAACUUCCACCUUCAUGUGCAUUGAAUAGUUAGAGAAGUUUGAUUCAUCUCAAUUAGUUUUGAGUUCUGGUUUUGGUAAUAUUGAAGUCAUGCUAGUAAGGUGUUGUGGAUCUAGAAAUACUUGUGUUUAAUUUAGUGAUUCCCGUAGCAUGCACGUAUGGUGAACCGCUAUGUGAUGAAGUCUGAGCGUGAUUAGUCUUUUGAUUGUCAUCCUUUGCGUGGCGGUCGGGAUCGCGCGAUGGUUCAUACCUACCAACCCUUCCCCUAGGAGUAUGCGUUGAAUGCUUUGUUUUGAUUACUAAUAAAACUUUUGCAACAAGUAUAUGAGUUCUUCAUGACUAAUGUUGAGUCCAUGGUUUAGAUGCACUUUCACCUUCCACCAUCACUAUCUUCUUAGUGUCGUGCAACUUUCGCCGAUGCACAAAACCCACCAUUAUCCUCCCUCAAAACAGCCACCAUACCUACCUACUAUGGCUUUUUCAAAGCUAUUCCGAGAUAUAUUGCCAUGCAACUACCACCAUGACAUGUGCCACCACUUCUACAUUGCCAUUGCAUGAUCAUAAGAUAGCUAGCAUGAUGUUUCCAUUUGAUGUCUAUGCCAUGCUAGACCAUUGUCACGGUGCACUACCGAAGGCAUUCCAUAUAGAGUCAUCAUCGCUCUAAGUUUUGAGUUGUAAGUGUGAUGAUCAUCAUUGAUGGAGCAUUGUCCCAUGUGAGGAAAUAAAAGAGGCUAGUGAAUCCCAUAUACAAAAAGAGGCAAAAGAUGCCCACCAAAAAAAAGAGGCCAAAGAGCCCACCAAAAAAAUGAGAGAAAAAGAGAGAAGGGACAAUGUUACCACUUUUCCACACUUGUGCAUAUUAAGCACCAUGAUCUUCAGGAUUGAGAGUCUCUUGUUUUGUCACCACCAUAUAGCUAGUGGGAAAUUUUCAUUAUAUAACUUGGCUUGUAUAUUCCAAUGAUAGGCUUCCUCAAAAUUGCCUUAGGUCUUCGUGAGCAAGCAAGUUGGAUGCACACCCACUAGUUUUCUUUAAGAGCUUUCACAUACUCCUAGCUCUAGUGCAUCAUUUGUAUGGCAAUCCCUACUCAUUCAUGUUGAUAUCUAUUAAUGAGCAUCUCCAUAUCUCAUUGAUAUGCCUAGUCAAUGUGACCAUCUUCUCCUUGUUUGCCUUGCAACCUCCACCACACUCCAUUCCACUUAUAGUGCUAAAACCAUGGCUCACGCUCAUGUAUUGCGUGAGAGUUGAAAAGGUUUGAGAAAGUAAAGGUGUGAAACAAUUACUUGGCCAAUACCGGGGUUGUGCAUGAUUUAAAUUCUUGUGCAAUGAUGAUAGAGCAUAGCCAGACUAUAUGCUUUUGUAGGGAUAACUUUCUUUUGGCCUUGUUAUUUUGAAAGUUCAUGAUUACCUUGCUAGUUUGCUUGAAUUAUUAUUGUUUCCACGUCAAUAGCAAACUAUUGUUUUGAAUCUAAUGGAUUUGAACAUUCACGUCACAUAAGAGAAUUACAAAGGACAUCUAUGCUAGGUAGCAUGAAAGCAUCAAAAAUUCAUUCUUUAUCACUUCCCUACUCGAGGACGAGCACGAGUUAAGCUUGGGGAUGCUUGAUACGUCUCCAACGUAUCUAUAAUUUUUUAUGGUUCCAUGCUAUUANNNNNNNNNNNNNNNNNNNNNNNNNNNNNNNNNNNNNNNNNNNNNNNNNNNNNNNNNNNNNNNNNNNNNNNNNNNNNNNNNNNNNNNNNNNNNNNNNNNNGCCCCGGGUUGGCCCCGCACACGACUCUAGUUUGGACCAACACUCAUGAGGAGCACUGGCCCGGAUUGUUGAUUAAUUCCUCGGGGUAGAUGUUCCCUAUGAAAAUUAUUUUUAGGUGAUUAGCAAAUUAAAACCAAUGUUGGGUCAUGCCGGACAAGUCUUAACACUACACGAUUUAUCAAGGGGGUCCCCAUAACAACCCCGAACGUGUUAGGAGCGAUCAGUUAUGGAAUCAAACACCGGUAGCCGGAAACUAAGGCGGCAAUAACGGAACAAAUCACCCGGAAAAAGGCUAGGCCUUCCAUCAUUUACCAAGUAUAUAGGUGCAUUAAUUAAAUAACAGUUUAAAACAUAAUGUUAUCAAAUGCUCAUGUUAUCACAUGAGAUAGCUGGCACCUCCAACUAGCAAAGCUAUCAUUAGAAGUUGAGCAAGCCUACUUAGCCAAACAACAUUAGCUAGGAAGGGAAGGUGUUUGGGUUUCAUGGCAAUAUCAGGAGGAAAUUAUAUCAAGUGGUAGGCAGCGAGCAUAUAUCGAAGGAAACGUGAAGCUAAGCAUAACAAAGCUAGAUACGGUAUCAAGGUCACGGUCAUCUUGCAUGUGAUGUCUUCAGCUUGGAACUGCUCUUGUUCGUCCUGCACGUACUCUCCAGACUCCACGUACUCGCUCUCCGACCCCGGUGCUACCCAAGAUAAAAAUAACAGUCAAUGAACACCAACACAACAUGAUGCAACAAACACAUGAUGCAUGAGAUGAGAAUGAAGCAUGCAUAUCUAUUCUAGUCCCUUGCAUAUGCAUGAGAAGAGAAGAUAAACUUCUGGACAAAACUUCACACUAAGCUAUCUUGACAUGCAUGAAGAUGGCAUGAACAGGUGCAUCACGAGAAAACAAUGCAAAAACAUAUAAAGAACGUUGAGAACGGAGCUACGGAUCAACCGGAAACUACGAAACAAGAUAUGGAGUCCUACGGAACAAUCCCACCACAAGCACAUCCAAUGGCACACUUCUGGUAUUCCCAGGUUGCCACAUGAUCAAACAAACAAAUAUAGGUGGGGUGGUGCAAAGAAACUCACCACACCACCAACUAUGCACUCACAAGCUUCAAAACAACAAAACUAUGCAAUCUGUCCUAAACAGCAUCAUAGCAGUUUGUGAGCAACAUGCAAAGCACCUACAGCCACCCAAAUGUGCCAAACAAGACAUGUGGCAAAAUCUAUUCAAAAGCUCUACAAGCCUGAGCAAAAAGAUAAUACAAAGGAGUCACACACAAGAAGAUCUACACGUGCUAACUUGGACAAAAAUAACACAUUUCAGGGACUUAGUGACUCGGAUUUUCACCAGCUGCUUAUGAUGUGAAGCAUUUUGACAGCACCCAAAAUAAUAUCUACAUGAAGUGAAAGUGCAUGAAAUUUAACAGAGAGCUAGACAAACACAAAAUCUCCAACUCUCUAGUUGAUUUCAAGGGUUGAUUCCAAACACACGAGCUUUUGCAACCACAACAAUAAGGGAAGAAAGUUACAGCAGUUUCUCAGACUUAGUAAAAUUCACAAAGUUUCACCAAGCUGACAAUUUCAUCCACAUGCCAACUUUGACAAGGCACAACUUGCACAUACAAACUCCUAAGCAUAAAACAAAACUAUCAUGUUGUAGAGGGGUUCUCCCACUACUGCCACAUCAAGGAAUCAUCCUCAUAGGCUCGUCACACCACAUGGCACCAAGCUCUAAACAUAGCAUCAGGACAGAAAAAUGACAUUUCCAGAAAGUGUCCCAAAAUGAAAUAUGAUUCCACCAAUGGAUUCCUGGGAUGAUUUUACCCAAAAACAUAUAUAAUACCUAGGUACUCGCAUACAACAUGUAGGCACAAAGUUGAAAGGAAAAAUAACAUAGAAUCUUAUAGCUCAAAUAGUGCCAUAUCACAUGUGGUACUUACUAUCUCAUCACCUAACUUGCACAUGCUCACACUCACAACUCCAAUGGUGAACAUGAGGGUUAGACCUCAUGUAUGUGUGCCAUAGCACAUCACCACACACACUCACACAUGCUAGGGGUUCAAAGGAACUCCCCAUGCACACUAAGGCUAAAUCCAUGCAUUGGUCAUGUGUGUGUCAUACACACACAUGCACCUCACUACUCUCACACACAUGCACACACAUGGAUACAUACACACACACACUUGCUUGCUCAAACAUCUACAACCCUACACCUACUUCUCCAUACUACUCACAUGCACAUGUAUGUGUGGCACACACACNNNNNNNNNNNNNNNNNNNNNNNNNNNNNNNNNNNNNNNNNNNNNNNNNNNNNNNNNNNNNNNNNNNNNNNNNNNNNNNNNNNNNNNNNNNNNNNNNNNNCGGCCUGCUGCGGCCCCGCCGCCCCCGGUCCCGCAUGCCUCGCCGUGGUGCGCCGCCGCUGGCCGAUCCCGCCGCCACCGGAGCCAGAGCCCCCAGCCAUCGCCGUCGCGUUCCUGCCGCCGGCCGACUCGUGUCGGCCUUGCCUCCCCGCGCUAGACCGGAUCCCGACUGGGAUAGUGCUUCUGCAACCUGACUUUGUUUGCAAAAAUUCCUGAAACUCGACCGUUGUUGCAAAAAUUCUUCCGUAAAAAUACCUAUGUUACAGAUAGACGAAGAAAAAAAACUGCAACAAGCAAUUUGUUUCUGAAACUCGACCGUUGUUAAUUAACGGAUCCAAAGUUUAUUUCUUGCAACAAAGAAAAAAAUUCUGCAACUCGAGCGUCGUUUACGGAUAACUAUUGAUCAUGCGACGGGAUGCGGGCGCGUUAAAUCAAACGGCUGUUAGCUUGGACAUCCGACGGCUAGCUAGGUGACGGAUUAUUUUUAGAAAUUAUCCGACGGACGUGUAGCGUUCCCCUUUAUUUAUAUUCUAAAAAUUAAAUUAGAAAUCACGUAAAAAUCAACAAGCCGCGUCCAAGAAUCAAUAUAUAAAUAAUUCAAACCACUUUUUGUCGAAGGCAUCUAUAUCCACUUCACCACUGUAUAUGCCCCUUAUAUGACCGAUCAAAAAGUCACACAGCAGAGCUGCGGGGCCACCGUGCCGAGACGUGGGCGCUUGGUGCGCACGAAACGACCUGUAGGCGGCGGCCAUCCACCGGAAAAGAAGAUCCCAAUCCAUCAAACCGGACGCGUCAGGCCCACAGAAAAAGCGAAGCGGAUAGAGCUGAGCGACCCCCUCCCUAGCAGACUGCAGAGAGCCGAAGGCAGCGAGGAGGGAGAAGCAGCCGCGAGGUUGGUAGACCACGCCGCACGCCAACCCGGACCCCGCCGGCCGCGACCAGCAUUUCCCCUCGCCUAGCCGCCGGAGAGUACCUCCAGCCCCUGCUCCGUUGGACCAGGCGCUAGCAGGGCCGGGAUGGCGAGCGGGGCCGUCGCGCCGCCCCCGCCGCCGCUGGCCGGCGGGCGGCGCGGCUUCGGUGGCCGGGGAGUNNNNNNNNNNNNNNNNNNNNNNNNNNNNNNNNNNNNNNNNNNNNNNNNNNNNNNNNNNNNNNNNNNNNNNNNNNNNNNNNNNNNNNNNNNNNNNNNNNNNCCAGGUCCCGCUAUUGGAUAUUGACCGAGGAGUCUCUCGGGUCAUGUCUACAUAGUUCUCGAACCCGCAUGGUCUGCACACUUAAGGUUCGACGUUGUUUUAUGCGUAUUUGAGUUAUAUGGUUGGUUACCGAAUGUUGUUCAGAGUCCCGGAUGAGAUCACGGACGUCACGAGGGUUUCCAGAAUGGUCCAGAAACGAAGAUUGAUAUAUAGGAUGGCCUCAUUUGAUUACCGGAAGCUUUUCGGAGUUACCGGGAAUGUACUGGGAAUGACGAAUGGGUUCCGGGAGUUCACCGGGGGGGGCAACCCACCUCGGGGAAGCCCAUAGGCCUUGGGGGUGGCGCACCAGCCCUUAGUGGGCUGGUGGGACAGCCCAAGAAGGCCCUAUGCGCCAUAGGAAGAAAAUCAAAGAGAAAAAAAGGAGGAGGUGGGAAAGGGAAGAAGGACUCCACCUUCCAAACCAAGUUGGAUUCGGUUUGGAAGGGGAGACCUUCCCCCCUUUGGCUCGGCCGACCCCCUUGGGGCUCCUUGAGCCCCAAGGCAAGGCCCCCCUCUCGCACCUAUAUAUAGGGAGGUUUUAGGGCUGAUUUGAGACGACUUUUCCACGGCAUCCCGACCACAUACCUCCACGGUUUUUCCUCUAGAUCGCGUUUCUGCGGAGCUCGGGCGGAGCCCUGCUGAGACAAGAUCAUCACCAACCUCCGGAGCGCCGUCACGCUUCCGGAGAACUCUUCUACCUCUCCGUCUCUCUUGCUGGAUCAAGAAGGCCGAGAUCAUCGUCGAGCUAUACGUGUGCUGAACGCGGAGGUGCCGUCCGUUCGGCACUAGAUCGUGGGACUGAUCGCGGGAUGGUUCGCGGGGCGGAUCAAGGGACGUGAGGAUGUUCCACUACAUCAACCGCGUUCACUAACGCUUCUGCUGUACGGUCUACAAGGGUACGUAGAUCACACAUCCCCUCUCGUAGAUGGACAUCACCAUGAUAGGUCUUCGUGCGCGUNNNNNNNNNNGUACGUGUGCUGAACGCGGAGGUGCCGUCCGUUCGGUACUAGAUCGUGGGACUGAUCGCGGGAUUGUUCGCGAGGCAGAUCGAGGGACGUGAGGACGUUCCACUACAUCAACCGCUUCACUAACGCUUCUGCUGUACGGUCUACAAGGGUACGUAGAUCACUCAUCCCCUCUCGUAGAUGGACAUCACCAUGAUAGGUCUUCGUGCGCGUAGGAAAUUUUUUGUUUCCCAUGCGACGUUCCCCAACACUGCUGUUAUCUGAAAACAGAACCAGUGCCUUGGACAUCCGGCCUCCUCCGGACGUCCGAGGGCCGAACGACCGACAGCUUCGGAAAUCCGGAAUCCUAUACCAAAGAAAUCAGAGCCAUAUAACUCGGACUUCCGGCCUCCUCCGGACGUCCGAGGCCGGAUAGCCGACCAAGUCCCGGAAAUCCGGAAGCCUGCACCAGUAGAAGUUGAGUUCUAUAUCUCGCAAAUCCGGCUCCCUCCGGACGACCGAGCGCCGGACGUCCGAUACCUGUCGGAAAUCCGGAACCUACCACCACUAGAAGUUGAGCUGUAUAACACGGACUUCCGGGCCACUCCGGACGUCCGUAUGCUAAUGAAUUCAAAUAUGUUCAGGNNNNNNNNNNNNNNNNNNNNNNNNNNNNNNNNNNNNNNNNNNNNNNNNNNNNNNNNNNNNNNNNNNNNNNNNNNNNNNNNNNNNNNNNNNNNNNNNNNNNUUGGUAUCAGAGCUAGGUCUCUCUUUAAUUAGGUUUCACGACCUAGAGAGUAUCGAUGUCGACUAUUGGAUUAGUGCACAAUGGCAUCUUUGACUUUGAUGGCACAAAUUAUACCCUAUGGAGAAUUCGUAUGCUUCAUCACUUUCGGGCCAUGGGCCCAAAUACUUUACGAAUUGUUCUUGUAGGGAUUGCCGACAAAAAGGACGAUGCAUCUUCAUCUACUAAUGAAAUGUAUCUUGAUUGUGAGGCCUUUCUUUCCAUUCAUCGAACCAUAAGUCCUGAAGUGUUUAAGUCUAUCUCGACUUGCAAGUCAGCUCAUGAAGUUUGGACUAAACUUGAAGAUAUAUAUGGUGGGUCCAAUCUUGAUGAAGACGGUAUUAUGAUGAAGGAGUUGGUGCAUGAACUCUUCACUCUUUUCGAUCUUAAAGAGUCCACCACUACUUCCAUAUCCGAUUGCUUGCACACCUCAGCAUCUUCAAUCUCACAAGGUAAUGACAUGGUGAGUGAAGAAAUAUAUGUUGAUGAAAAUGUCAUAGCCUCUAUGGACACGAGCAUAUCUAGCACCACGCAUAGUGUAAAUUAUUGUGCUGAUAGGUCAUGCAUUUCACCUAAAGAUUCCUUGACAAAUGUCUGUGGUGAUAUGCCUGCUUCCUCAUGUCCUCUUGAUCAAAAUAUCUUGUUUCUCCCUAGUUGCUCUAUGACUAAUCAUUUAGGGGAAAUCAAGAAAUAUGAAGUACCUUUGACUAAUGAAGAAUCUGAUUCACCAAAAGAAUCAUCAUCAACUCCUCCAGUUCACAUGUGCCUCAUGGCAAGAGGUAAUAAUGAGGUAUCAUCUUCCCUGUGCAAUAACGAUAUAUUUGCGAUGAGGAUGAUGAUGAUGAUGACUUGACUGAAAAUAUCUAUGUGAUCAGUAAAAUUCUUCAUAAAGCUAAAAAUAACGCUCUUCAAAGAUUCCAAGAUGUUCUUGCUUACUUUGAAAAUUGUAAUGAUUCACUUAUUCAAGAACAAGCUAAAAGUGAACAACUUGAACAUGAACUUGAGAAGAGUCAUCAAGCAUGUAGAGACUUAAGAUCUUCAAAAGGAGAGAUUGAAGUUGCUCAUGAUAAACUUAAAAGGGAUUUUGAGGUCCUUCUCCUUGAAUGCAAUAAUGUCAAGGGAGAGCUCAUCAAAACCUCUAACAUCUAUGAGGAGCUUCAAUCUACUCAUGAGAAGUCUCUAUUUGCUACUUACUCCUCUCAUAUUGUUGAUGAUACUUGUACAUCUAACUCUACCUCUUUUGAAGUAUCAACAUUGAAGGAGAAUGUUGAGCUACGUGCUCAACUUGAUUUACUAACUAGCAAUUAUGGGAAGUUGGAAGAAAACCAUGUAAUGCUUACAAGCUCUCAUGCCGAUCUUCUAACAUCCCAUAAUGUGCAAAAGUUAGCUCAUGAGGCUAUCAUCACCAAGGUAACAUCAAGCGAGCCUCAUGUGGACAAUGGCACUACUUCUAGUCAAAGUACUAUAUUUCCAUGUGCUAGUCCUCGUAAUUCGUCUACUCAUAAUGUUGCUACCUCAUGUGAUGAAUUACUUUCCUUGCCUUGUUGCUCUAACAUUGAAGCCUACACUUCCUCUAGUACUUGCAUUGAUACUAACCGUGCAGAGGAAAUCAAAGAUCUCAAGGCCCAAGUCACUUCUUUGAAGAAAGACUUGGAACAGUGUCAUGAAGGGAUGCCCACACUCAACAACGUCCUGUGUGAGCAAACAUCUCCGAAUGACAAAAAUGAGUUUGAAGUAAACUCAAACAAGAACAAGAGGGGCCUAGAACAAGUCAAGAAUUCGGCCAAAAUCAUUUGCUUCAAGUGCAAAGUUAAAGGGCACCAUGUUAGAUCUUGCCCUCUGAAGACGAAGUCUCAAAGUCACAAGCAACAAGGGAAGCGGCCACAAACUCAAUCACAUAUUCAACUACAAGUUGAAGGAAGGCCUCUUCCCAAUAAGACCCAAGCCAACACUCCCCAAGGUGAGAAAUCAGCUGGGAAGAAAACAAAGGGUAGAUGUUGCUACUUAUGUCGUGAGAAGGGUCACGUCGCUUCGUCUUGCACGAAAGGUAACUUAUCCAACCCAAUCACUAUUGAUGAUACAUAUUCCCUUGGGAAGGAUAAGGUUGGCAAUGUGUUUGCCAAGUUUGUUGGUACUCAACAUGGUGUCAAGAAAAGAACCAUUUGGGUUGCCAAGCCUAUUGUGAUUGACCUCUUAGGACCCAACGUAGUUGGGGACCAACAAGCUCAAACUUGAUCAAUAGGUGACUAUGGAGGACAUUAGAGACUUGGAUACAUAAUGAAGAAUUAAGGGGUCUUCACCACUCAUAUUAUCUCAAGCCAAGUCAUUUGGAUUAUCGAGUUUCUAUCUUAUAUCCAAUGUGCCUCCUUAUGGUAACUUAUACUUAAAUUGUUUACAUUAUUACGUGCUUGCCCCCUUUGCAUGUUGUGGUUUUGUACCUUGCAUGCGUUUGUAUAUGAUGUGCUUCCAACUUGCUUAUCUUGAGUAAUCAAGUAUGUGUAUGUUGGUUUGCACAUCAUGUACAUGUGAGUCUUGUAUUGAGCCUAUUUGCAUCUUGUCUGUAUUUUUGUUGGCUCUUGUGAGAGAUUAAUGGAUUAUCCCAUUGUGGGGGAGUGAUGUGCUUUGCACACCUCACAAUCCUAUAAAUGUGUAUACAUGGGGAAUACCACUUAGUUUUGAUGCUUCAAGAUUAUCUAGUGUCUAUGUGGUAUGUCUUACUCAUGAGAAAUUCAAAUUCUAUAUGGUCCAUUAGGUAUCUCUCGUUGGUUUUAAUUUGCCACUUGUUAAUGUUAUUGGUUUAUCACAUUAUGGGGGAGUAAUAUGCUAUGUGCAUAUUACAAACCUAGAAAAUGUGUACAUUUGACGUAUUGCCACCUAGUGUUGAUAUUGUAAAUUAUCUUGUUCCUAGGUGGCAUGUUAGCUCUACAAGUGUCAUUUGCUUGCGUUUUAUGGGUAAAGAUGAUCUUGGAUAUAUUUGUGAUCUACCAAUGAGUAUCAUUUCAAAAAUACUUCUUGUCCUUGACAAUUGGUAUUCCCAUCAUAUGAUUGGAAUUAAUAAUCAUCUUUACAUUGGAUUUUGUGUUUCGUUUGUCUUUCUUGCCUCUUAUGAAUCUAUUUUUAACAUGUCUAGUGUGGUUAUAGAUAUAGAGAAAGUGAUGAUCCCAUCGUGCGCGUUUUGUAUUCAAAUGCAAAUUCUAUAUAAUGCACGUCCCUUGGGGGAGCUAUCCUAUUCCCUUUAAAAACACUCUCUUUAUUCACCCAUCAUAAAAUCAUUUGAUCCCCAUCAAGUGUGUGUUGAUGGGAGGCAAGUCUUGCUCUUUAUGAUGCUUUGUGCCAUCAUGAAAAUUUGUAGAGGGCUUUGUUUGUUGGAACCUAGCUCUCUCUUAGAAACUAGAUACCUCAUGUUUGUUUUCCUUUAAUUGGUUUCUUGUUGCCUUCUAUUUGGCAUGUGUCAAUGGAUAUCUCAUUGCUUGAUGUAUCUUUUAAUUGAUAUCUUUCAAGUGAUAGUUCUUUUGUUUUAGGAUCUUAUUAUCACUUGAUAUCUUGUCUUUUGAUGACUUAUCAACUUUGUGUUGAGUUGAUUCUUGAGAGUCUUGAGCAUGCAUAUCUAGCUACUAUAUACAACUUCUUUUGCGUGCUUUCCUCCUUUGACCCAAUACAUAAGGGAAACUCCACCCUGUCAUAAAUUGGCUAAGGUGUGCAUGAAAUUCAAAUUCAUAUCUAUAUGCACAUAUGUGUGUGGAGUUUGUCCUAUGUGUUGCUGGUUUUCUAACUCCUUGGUCCCAAUGAGUUUGGGCACCUUUUUGUUUGUUUUUGUUGUUCCAGGAACAACUGGAGAUGCAUUGGAUGCUCGGCUCACCUAUAAGGAAGAUGUUGAGACCAUGUGAUUAUUGGAGCCAAGUUAGGAUGAUCAAAGAACAACUAUCUACUACAUCAAUCCAAUGUUGUCUCGGUAACAAGUAUCCACUUCAUGCAUUCUUUUCUUGCAAAGGACCCAACCUGUCUUUUCUUUUCCAGGUUGCAUCAUGGCAUGAAUCUCUUGAUUUGUUCUCAUAGUACUUGUUUGCUUUCUCAAAGCAUCCGAACGAUGAUGUCUUACUGCUAGUUGGGAUGUCUUUGAUGUUCGUAUGUUGGAAGUUCAUAUUAUACAAUAAGAAAAUAUUAGGCCAUGUGCUAUGCUUCCAAGCAAAAGAUCUCAUUGAUAUAUUUAUGACUUCCCUUUUUGGAUAUCUAGUGUUCUUCCUUCUUGUAACCAUUUCGUGUGUACAUCCUUCUUUGUGGAUAUAUAUAUCAUCAUGAUUGUCUUCUACUUAGAAUCUUGGUCACAUGAGAUAAGUUACAUCUCUAAUUGAUAUCCUCUUUUCUUUCACGUCCACCGCUGCAUUUCCUUUUUCGGUUUUGGUGGCAACGUGAAAGGAUUGGUUUUGAGUGUGUAUCUUAUUUUCCUACAUCUUGGUGCACUCUUUGGCCGUGAAGAUUAUUUUUCCUCAUGCUUGUCUUGAUGAGGGUUUUGCCAUUUUCAAUUAGUACCCCUCCUCUUGACAAGAUUCUUACUUCCUAUCUUCACGAUGGGUUGUCACAAGCGUUGGUUCUUAUUUUGGUUAUUAGUAAGCUUGUGAACCCAUUUUCUAGUAUGUGUGUGUGGGAAUGAUAUGUCUUGCACUUUGUAUCUCAUAUUCAUCAAGACUAUGGUGAUGAGCAAUGCUCAUCCUUAUCUUAAGUCUUCUCAAGUGCUUUGCCAUGACUCACACACAUUACUUUGGUUGAGCUUAUUCUUAAGUUGCUUCCUUUACAUGUUGCUCAACCAUUAGUUUUGUGCAAUUGAUAUGCCUAUUGUCUCAUCUAUCUUCUUGCACUCGUUGUGUGUGUCUAUUAAUUCUGGGGGAGCAACGAUCCUAUUUUGUACACCUGUGUCAAAUACAAAAUCUUAUAUUAGUGCACAAAUCAUGGGGAGCUUCUCUAGUUUUUGAUAAAGCACCAUGUUGCCUUUAUCAUAAUAUCUGUUAUUUAUGUGGUUCGAAGGACCAUAUAAUUGUUUGUUCCAUCUGGAAUCUUUUGAUUGCUUGCUUCUAUCUCUGUAUGUCUUUGUGGCAUACGAUCCUUUUAUUUGCAAUCUUUGGGUCCUCAAUAUAGUUUGUUUUCCUCCAACUACGUAUCAUUGUAUUUGUGUAUUUUUCUGCACUCAUUUGCUGAGAAGUACACACUUUUUUUUGGAGGACCACCUACUAUAUUGGCUUUCUAAACUUUUCGUCCAUUUUGGCAAUCGAUGCCAAUGGGGGAGAAGUUUAGAGAGUUUACUUUGGAUAUGUUUAGAGGGCUUUGCUUUUAUUGCGUAAGCAUUUACAUCUUGCACACAUGCAUUAUUACCUUGUAUGUGUGCGCUUGGUUAUGCUUAUCUCCUUAUAUAAACUCUCUUGAAGUGGUUGUUUUCAAUUACCAAAAUGGGGGAGAUUGUUAGAGCAUAUAUCUCCAUAUGUGGUUUUGGUAAUUGAUGACAACUCCUAUGGACUAAUGGUUGCCUUAAGUUAUAUUUAUAGGAUUUGUCCAUAGGCACUUCUUGAAGUCCAUCUGUUGGGUUCAAGGAGUUUAUAUGAUGACCAAGAUGUUAUUCAAAGUAUUAUCCAAAGAAUGGUCAUAGAAACACUAGGUUGAUCAAGAUCUCAGACAAAGAGUAAAUCAAGAUGAUCAACACACAAAGCGUACAAGAUGUACCGAGAGGGAUCAAGUGAUCCCAUGGUAUGGUAAGCAUUGUCCAUUACAUGUUUGUGUACUAACCCAUGGUCUUUGUGAGACUCCUAUGUGGGGGUUAGGUGUGCUUCUAUUGGGCUUGCGUCAAAAGGAAGAUCUCAUACAACCCAUGAAGGAUGAUGCCAAGUGGUGAUCGUCAUCAAGAUUGUGGUGUGCAAGUUCAAGCGGAUCAGCACGAAUAUAUCAUUGAAACUAUUGUCAAUGAUCAUGUGCUGACAAGGACAACCUCAUGUGCGAACAAGGACAAGAUCAAGAUAAGCAUUCCUGAGCACUACAUGCUUGAUUCUUGUGGAUGUUCACAUGGUGGACAGGACAAGAUCAAGAUAAGCAUCCUUGAGAACUUCAUGCUUGAUUCUUGUGGAUGUUCACAUGGUGGACAAAUGAAGAUGAAUACAUAAGCUAGGCUUUCCGCAUUGUGUAUGGGAAAGCUACUUGAAGACUUCAUCAUGUCUUGCUUUCAACUCGAGCCAAGAAGGAACAACAACAUCAAGCUCACGUGAAAGGGCUAACUCAAAGGUAUCAGUUCCUUUGACGUUAGUUGUGCGGAGUGAUGAUCAGCGAAUAAAAGUAUACACUCAAGUAUGGAUCAUCAGUACUCUUUUAUGAUUCUUGAGUCCUUAGGGAUCCCGCACUACUAAGAGGGGAUCACAGGUUUUGCGAUGAACUUGCUCAAACUACAUCAUCACUUUCUGUUCAGACCACAUCUCCACUGCUCUGCUGUUAUCUGAAAACAGAACCAGUGCCUCGGACAUCCGGCCUCCUCCGGACGUCCGUGGGCCGGACGACCGACAGCUUCGGAAAUCCGGAAUCCUAUACCAGAGAAAUCAGAGCCAUAUAACUCGGACUUCCGGCCUCCUCCGGACGUCCGAGGGCCGGAUAGCCGACCAAGUCCCGAAAAUCCGGAAGCCUGCACCAGUAGAAGUUGAGUUCUAUAUCUCGGAAAUCCGGCUCCCUCCGGACGAUCGAGCGCCGGACGUCCGACACCCGUCGGAAAUCCGGAACCUACCACCAGUAGAAGUUGAGCUGUAUAACACGGACUUUCGGGCCACUCCGGACGUCCGUAUGCUAAUGAAUUCAAAUAUGUUCAGGNNNNNNNNNNGAUCCAAUAUGGGCAUCCAGGUCCCGCUAUUGGAUAUUGACCGAGGAGUCUCUCGGGUCAUGUCUACAUAGUUCUCGAACCCGCAUGGUCUGCACACUUAAGGUUCGACGUUGUUUUAUGCGUAUUUGAGUUAUAUGGUUGGUUACCGAAUGUUGUUCAGAGUCCCGGAUGAGAUCACGGACGUCACGAGGGUUUCCAGAAUGGUCCAGAAACGAAGAUUGAUAUAUAGGAUGGCCUCAUUUGAUUACCGGAAGCUUUUCGGAGUUACCGGGAAUGUACUGGGAAUGACGAAUGGGUUCCGGGAGUUCACCGGGGGGGGCAACCCACCUCGGGGAAGCCCAUAGGCCUUGGGGGUGGCGCACCAGCCCUUAGUGGGCUGGUGGGACAGCCCAAGAAGGCCCUAUGCGCCAUAGGAAGAAAAUCAAAGAGAAAAAAAGGAGGAGGUGGGAAAGGGAAGAAGGACUCCACCUUCCAAACCAAGUUGGAUUCGGUUUGGAAGGGGAGACCUUCCCCCCUUUGGCUCGGCCGACCCCCUUGGGGCUCCUUGAGCCCCAAGGCAAGGCCCCCCUCUCGCACCUAUAUAUAGGGAGGUUUUAGGGCUGAUUUGAGACGACUUUUCCACGGCAUCCCGACCACAUACCUCCACGGUUUUUCCUCUAGAUCGCGUUUCUGCGGAGCUCGGGCGGAGCCCUGCUGAGACAAGAUCAUCACCAACCUCCGGAGCGCCGUCACGCUUCCGGAGAACUCUUCUACCUCUCCGUCUCUCUUGCUGGAUCAAGAAGGCCGAGAUCAUCGUCGAGCUGUACGUGUGCUGAACGCGGAGGUGCCGUCCGUUCGGUACUAGAUCGUGGGACUGAUCGCGGGAUUGUUCGCGAGGCAGAUCGAGGGACGUGAGGACGUUCCACUACAUCAACCGCUUCACUAACGCUUCUGCUGUACGGUCUACAAGGGUACGUAGAUCACUCAUCCCCUCUCGUAGAUGGACAUCACCAUGAUAGGUCUUCGUGCGCGUAGGAAAUUUUUUGUUUCCCAUGCGACGUUCCCCAACACUGCUGUUAUCUGAAAACAGAACCAGUGCCUUGGACAUCCGGCCUCCUCCGGACGUCCGAGGGCCGAACGACCGACAGCUUCGGAAAUCCGGAAUCCUAUACCAAAGAAAUCAGAGCCAUAUAACUCGGACUUCCGGCCUCCUCCGGACGUCCNNNNNNNNNNNNNNNNNNNNNNNNNNNNNNNNNNNNNNNNNNNNNNNNNNNNNNNNNNNNNNNNNNNNNNNNNNNNNNNNNNNNNNNNNNNNNNNNNNNNNNNNNNNNNNNNNNNNNNNNNNNNNNNNNNNNNNNNNNNNNNNNNNNNNNNNNNNNNNNNNNNNNCAAAUCCGGCUCCCUCCGGACGACCGAGCGCCGGACGUCCGAUACCUGUCGGAAAUCCGGAACCUACCACCACUAGAAGUUGAGCUGUAUAACACGGACUUCCGGGCCACUCCGGACGUCCGUAUGCUAAUGAAUUCAAAUAUGUUCAGGCACAUCUGCAGGCCUCGGACGACCGACCCCUAUCGGACGUCCGGCCGCUGAUGAAUUCAGAAGAGUUCCAGUCAUGCCUAAAAGUCUCUGACGUCCGACCCCGGUCGGACGUCCGGCCCCUCACGGAAGCCCGGACUUCCGACAACUGUCGGACGUCCGGACCCUGUGUGACUUAAAGUGUCCCCAACGGCUCUUUUUCUCUCCACACUAUAAAUACCCCCUCCCACUUCGUGAGAGGGUUGCCCAACACAGCCUUAUCCUCAUAAGAACACAUUUCCACCUCACACACANNNNNNNNNNNNNNNNNNNNNNNNNNNNNNNNNNNNNNNNNNNNNNNNNNNNNNNNNNNNNNNNNNNNNNNNNNNNNNNNNNNNNNNNNNNNNNNNNNNNUUGUUUUAUGCGUAUUUGAGUUAUAUGGUUGGUUACCGAAUGUUGUUCGGAGUCCCGGAUGAGAUCACGAAUGUCACGAGGGUUUCCGGAAUGGUCCGGAAAUGAAGAUUGAUAUAUAGGAUGACCUCAUUUGAUUACCGGAAGGUUUUCGGAGUUACCGGGAAUGUACCGGGAAUGACGAAUGGGUUCCGGGAGUUCACCGGGGGGGGCAACCCACCCUGGGGAAGCCCAUAGGCCUUGAGGGUGGCACACCAGCCCUUAGUGGGCUGGUGGGACAGCCCAAGAGGGCCCUAUGCGCCUAGAGAAGAAAAUCAAGGAGAAAAAAAAAGAGGAGGUGGGAAGGGAAGGAAGGACUCCCUCCCACCAAACCAAGUCCAACUCGGUUUGGGGGGGGAACCUUCCCCCUUGGACUCGGCCGACCACCUUGGGGCUCCUUGAGCCCCAAGGCAAGGUCCCCUCCCUCCCACCUAUAUAUACGGAGGUUUUAGGGCUGAUUUGAGACGACUUUUCCACGGCAGCCCGACCNNNNNNNNNNNNNNNNNNNNNNNNNNNNNNNNNNNNNNNNNNNNNNNNNNNNNNNNNNNNNNNNNNNNNNNNNNNNNNNNNNNNNNNNNNNNNNNNNNNNAUGUCCCCAACGGCUCUUUUUCUCUCCACACUAUAAAUACCCCCCUCCCACUUCGUGAGAGGGUUACCCAACACAGCCUUAUCCUCAUAAGAACACAUUUCCACCUCACACACAUUUGCUCACUCCAAAUCUUAGAUCCCAAGAGCAUUUGUGAGCCCCUUUGAGAGUUGUUCCAAUCAAAAGAUAGAUCUUCUCCCUCUCCUUCUCUCAACCCAAGCUAUUUGUGAUUUGAGCAAGUUUUGAGCAUUCCUCAUUGAAAAGGAUUGAGAUGGACCUAGAGGGGGGGUGAAUAGGUACAAAUCCAAAUUUUAACAAUUACUUAGCAAUUUUAGGCUAGAGUGCGGAAUAUAAGUGUAAGCCUAAUAAUUGCUAUGACAAAGAGUAAGCUAUUAGGAGUGAAGCAAGGCAAGUGGUAAACAAUAAGCAAAUACAAGUAUGUAAUAAGGAUUAACACAAGUAGAGAGUUAGGGUUAGGAAUAACCGAAACUCCGAGAGAGACAAGGAUGUAUCCCGAUGUUCACUUCCUUGGAGGGAAGCUACGUCACCGUUAGAGGGGCGGAUGUUACCACGAAGGCACACCAAAGCCACGAAGGCUCACCCUAUUCUCCCUUUGAGAUAACUCCACGAAGGCGUUUCUCAACCACUAGUGGUAAGCCUUUGAGGUGGCUUCCAAACCCUCACAAACUUUUCCGGGGGAAAUCACACGGAUUGAUUCCUCUCCGAAGAACUCCUACCGCCUANNNNNNNNNNGAGGUGGCUUCCAAACCUUCACAAACUUUUUGGGGGAUAUCACAAUGGUUUGAUUCCUCUCCGAAGACUCCUACCGCCUAAGAGUCUCCAACCUCCAAGAGUAACAAGAUCACGGGUGAAAGUGCAUGCUAUGCCCCUAAUUGUAUUUUGGUGUUAAUGACAACACAUACAUAGGAAACUAAUCCUAUUUGUUGAGUGUAUCUCAGGACGGCAAGUACUUUAGUAUAUUAAGAUUUAUGUGCCAAAGGUUGCCUGAAAAGAUUGGUGAGUUAUAUUUCGAGAAGACUCGGGAUUAAGAAGAGAUGUUGUAGAAUAGUCUUUUGAGUUUACUAAUAUUGAGUAUAGGGAUCCCGCACUAUUAAGAGGGGAUCACAGGCUUUGCGAUAAACUUGCUCAUACCACAUCUCUACAACCAUAUCAAACACCACAUACUGUCCACUCUCUAAAAUUCAACAUAUGUCAAAUCUCCUCGGACAUCCGGCUCCCUCCGGACGUCCGAGGGCCGGACGUCCGGCUGGCUUCGGAAAUCCGCAGCCAGACACCAGUAGUUUGUUAGGCUUAUAUCUCGGAAAUCCGGCUCCCUCCGGACAUCCGAGGGCCGGUCGUCCGGCCAAGCUCCAUAAAUCUGGAGGGCAACACCAGUAGUUUGUGUGCACUAUAUCUCGGAAAUCCGGCNNNNNNNNNNUGGACGUCCGGCUGGCUUCGGAAAUCCGCAGCCAGAUACCAGUAGUUUGUUAGGCUUAGAUCUCGGAAAUCCGGCUCCCUCCGGACGUCCGAGGGCCAGUCGUCCGGCCAAGCUCCGGAAAUCCGGAGGGCAACACCAGUAGUUUGUGUGCACUAUAUCUCGGAAAUCCGGCNNNNNNNNNNUUGCUCAAAACUUGCUCAAAUCACAAAUCACUUUGGUGGGAAGGAGGAGAGGGAGACGAUCUAUCUUUUGAUUGGAACAACACUCAAAAGGACUCACAAAUGCUCUUGGGAUCUAGGAUUUGGUGUAGACAAGAGUGAAUGAGAGGAAAGGUGUUCUUGGAUGUGUCUUAGCUGUGUUGAACACCCUUUCACGAGGUGGGAGAAGAGUAUUUAUAGUGUGGAGUGAAAUCCAGUCGUUGGAGGUGCAAUAAGUCACACAGGGUCCGGACGUCCGACACUUGUCGGAAGUCCGGUCGUCCGUGAGGGGCCGGACGUCCGACAGGGGUCGGACGUCCGAGACCUNNNNNNNNNNCUGUUGGAGGUGCAAUAAGUCACACAGGGUCUGGACGUCCGACACUUGUCGGAAGUCAGGGCGUCCGUGAGGGGCCGGACGUCCGACAGGGGUCGGACGUCCGAGACCUGUAGGCAUGCCUGGAACUCUUCUGAAUUCAUCAGCGGCCGGACGUCCGACAGGAGUCGGUCGUCCGAGGCAUGUAGAUAUUUGAAUUCAUCAGCAUACGGACGUCCGGAAUGGCCCGGAAGUCCGUGUUAUACAGCACAAUUUCUACUGGUGGUGGCUNNNNNNNNNNAGAACUCUUCUGAAUUCAUCAGCGGUCGGACGUCCGACAGGAGUCGGUCGUCCGAGGCCUGUAGAUAUGCCUCAACGUAUUUGAAUUCAUCAGCAUACGGACGUCCGGAGUGGCCCGGAAGUCCGUGUUAUACAGCACAAUUUCUACUGGUGGUGGCUUCCGGAUUUCCGAUGGGUGUCGGACAUCCGGCGCUCGGACGUCCGGAGUGUUGGAAAUAUGCCCUAGAGGCAAUAAUAAAUUAGUUAUUAUUAUAUUUCUUUGUUCAUGAUAAUCAUUUAUUAUCCAUGCUAUAAUUGUAUUGAUUGGAAACACAGUGCAUGUGUGGAUACAUAGACAAAACACUGUCGCUAGUAAGCCUCUAGUUGACUAGCUCGUUGAUCAAAGAUGGUCAAGGUUUCCUGACCAUAGGCAAGUGUUGUCACUUGAUAACGGGAUCACAUCAUUAGGAGAAUCAUGUGAUGGACUAGACCCAAACUAAUAGACGUAGCAUGUUGAUCGUGUCAUUUUGUUGCUACUGUUUUCUGCGUGUCAAGUAUUUAUUCCUAUGACCAUGAGAUCAUAUAACUCANNNNNNNNNNUGUGAUCUACGUACCCUUGUAGACCGUACAGCAGAAGCGUUAGUGAACGCGGUUGAUGUAGUGGAACAUCCUCACGUCCCUUGAUCCGCCCCGCGAACCAUCCCGCGAUCAGUCCCACGAUCUAGUGCCGAACGGACGGCACCUCCGCGUUCAGCACACGUAUAGCUCGACGAUGAUCUCGGCCUUCUUGAUCCAGCAAGAGAGACGGAGANNNNNNNNNNNNNNNNNNNNNNNNNNNNNNNNNNNNNNNNNNNNNNNNNNNNNNNNNNNNNNNNNNNNNNNNNNNNNNNNNNNNNNNNNNNNNNNNNNNNUUUGCUUAUUGUUUACCGCUUGCCUUGCUUCACUCCUAAUAGCUUACUCUUUGUCAUAGCAAUUAUUAGGCUUACACUUAUAUUCUGCACUUUAGCCUAAAAUUGCUAAGUAAUUGUUAAAAUUUGGAUUUGUACCUAUUCACCCCCCCUCUAGGUCCAUCUCGAUCCUUUUCAAUUGGUAUCAGAGCCUCGUGCUCUAUUUGUGUGGCUUAACCGCCCUAGAGCGAGAUGGACGUGGAUCCAGCUGCAGUAGCUCCAGUGCAGAGGGACGGGACUUCCGCGGAAGUCAAGUCUUUCACCUCUGAGGACCUGGAACGGGCCCUUGCCAAGCAAAAAGAGGAGCAUGAUGCUUCUCUUGAGUCCAUAAUUCAAAUGAUACUAGCAGCACUAACCACGGGGACAACCACGUCCUCGAGGGCCUCAGGGCCCCACGUGCACGGUACUUCAUUUGGCUAACCUCCUCCGGAGAGGAACCAAACCAGUGUUCCAUGGCUUUAUGCUAAGUCUCAAAUUGAGAAACCUAAGUAGGAGGAAAACCUCCCUUGCUUGAUGACAAUUCCGAUUUUGCUUUGUGGAGAGUUGGUAUGCAGGAUCAUCUUAGGUACGCCAAUGAUGAGAUGCUGGACAUCCUCGAGCAUGGGUACAAUCCUGUUGAUCCAAGAUGCCUCACGCCUAGAGAAACUUAUGACAAGCAUCUCAAUGACACUGCGAUCAUGUGCAUAAGAAAAGGAAUGAAUGAAAAGCAACGAAGACCUUACAUUCACAUCACAAGUGCCAAGGAAUUGUGGGACAACAUCAUAAGGACCAAGACCGGUACCUCCACUCUUCGGCUUGCCCAAUAUGAAAUUGCCAAGGGGCAAUUACAGAAUUUCUGUAUGGAAAAGGGUGAAUCUCCCAAGCAGCUACUAGAACGGCUCAUGACUCUCGCCGCAGACAUUGAGUCAUGUGACUGUGACAAGACGCAAGAUGGUUUCAAUCUGACCAAGAGAUUCCUUGUGGACAAGUUACUUCACGCUCUUGCUCCAUAUCACCAUCAAAUGGUAUGGGACAUGAAACAGCAUCAUGCUUUCAAAGAAAUGACUCCGGAUGACAUCAUAUCCACUUUCCAAUUAUUUGAAGAGUCAAAGGCAAAUGCAACAAAGCACCUAGCCAUGCAUGGCACUUCAACAUCAAAGAUCAAUCUUGCUUUGAAAGCCAAGCAUGAGUAUGACGAAGAAGAAGUGAAGAAGAAGAAGGUGAUGAUGACUGUCAAGAUGGUGAUGAUGUUGACUCUGAUGAAAGCCCAUCGUUUGAGGACAUUGCUCUCUUUGUGAAGAAGUUCAGUGCAGGGAAGUUCAAGGGAAGAUUUCCAAAGAAGAAGGUAAGGAAAUGCUAUAACUGUGAGGAAACCAACCACUUCUCCAACGACUGCCCUUAUGAGAAGAGAGAAGACAAACCAAGGUUUCCAAAGACCUUUGUAAAGAAGAAGUUACCAAACCCUAUGAACUCCAAGUCCAAGAAGACAGAUGGAAGAGCAAUGGUUGCACAAGAAGAAUCAGAUCCAGAAGAUGUUGGUGGAGUUGCCGGAGUAGCUCAAGAUACACAGAGUACCUUGAGGCUAGUCAACAAAAGUGGUGAUGUUGUUCACUACAACUAUAUGAAGGACUACAAGGGCAACGCUCACAAGUGUUUGAUGGCAAAGACUGCCAUGGGAGAUGGGGAAGACCAAAGCUCCCAUGAUAAGGUUAAGGUAACCCCACGGUUAAACUCUUUCAGUCUAGUUUCUACCCACUCUGAUGAGUAUCUUGAUGCGGAAGAUCAUUAUGAGGAUGAUGAUUUAGAUCAUCCCAUGUUUGCUAAAAUGAACAAAUUUAUGUGCUCUCUUAAAGGAAAGAAGCUCACUAUGUUUCGCAUACUUAUGGAAAUGGUGAGUAAGCACACCAAUACCAUCAAGGAACUCGAAACCCUCGUCACUGAGGAGAAGGAGAGAAAUGAACUCCUUGAGCAUAAAGUCCUUUACGAGGAAGCACAAAAUGAUGCAUUAUGUUCAAAAGUAGGUGAAAACCUUGAUAAACAUGCUAAUGAUCUUGCCUCCUUGAAAAAGGCUGAAAAUGUGUGCAGAGAAUUACUAAAUGAUAAAGACCGACUUGUGAACUCUCAUGCUUCUCUUUCUAAGGACUGUGAGCGUCUAUACUUGUCUCUCAAAGACAAGGAGGAGAAACUCACUGUUCUUACAAAGAGCUUUGAGGCACUUAAGGUCACUUAUCUUGACACUCUAGGUAAGGCCUACUCCUCACCUAUUAUCAAUGUUGAUACCUGCACUACUAAUCCUAGUAGUGAACUGACAUCUAUCCUUGAGGAAAACUGUACGUUAAGGGCACAGCUAGACAGAGGUCUCAUGACAUGUGCACAAGGACAAAAGACUCUCAAUGAGAUCUUAAGUCGACACAAUGGAGGUGUCGCCAAGAAAGGGCUUGGGUUCAACCCAAGCACUGCCAAGAAAAGUGCAUCUCCUCUGAAGUGUACCACUCCUAUUAAGGAAAUAUUUGUACCAGAGGGACACACGGAGAAAGGUAAGGUUGUGAGUGGAUCGGCCACUAGGGGUCCGUCUACUCACAACAAGACAACCGAAUUCAUGCCUCCAUCCUAUGUACUACGCAAAUCACAGGAAGGAGAAGUUUAUGCUAAAUUCGUUGGUCCCCGUAAUGCAUUUCGAUUCUAUGCCAUUUGGGUCCCUAAGACUCUUGUAACUAAUGUGAAAGGCCCCAUGACAAAAUGGGUACCUCAAACCAAGUCUUAAUUCGUUACAGGCUGUUUUCUCCGGUGGAGCAAAAUGGGUGAUCGACAGUGGAUUUACCAAUCAUAUGACCGGAGAUAGUAACUUGCUCUAUGACUUCAUGCAAGCCAUUCGACCAUACAUGAGCAUUGUAUUUGGUGAAGGGUCGAAAGGGCAGGUAAUUGGGUUGGGCAAGGUGGCAAUCACUAAUGACAUGUCUAUUGCAAAUGUCAUGCUUGUCCAAUCUCUUCAAUAUCAUUUACUUUCAGUUCGUCAAUUGGCUUCCGUCGGUUAUGACACACUAUUUGGACUAACGGAUGUGAAAGUCUUUAAGAGAGACACUCUUGAAGUGGCUUUCAUUGGAGAGUUGGAUGGCAACCUUUACACGGUUGAUUUCUCGAAAGAGAGAACUUUCCAUACAACUUGUCUAAUGGCCAAGGCCGACAUGGGAUGGCUGUGGCAUGGCCGGCUCGCCCAUGUUGGCAUGAAAAAUCUUGAAAAUCUCUUAAACGGUAAUCACAUCCUUGGACUAACAAAUGUGUCUUUUAAGAAAGAUCGUGUGUGCAGUGCAUGCAUAGCGGGGAAGCAACAUCAAUCAAGACAUCCACCCAAGAACGUUGUAUCCACUUCGAGGCCGUUAGAGCUCCUUCAUGUUGAUCUAUUUGGGCCUCCUUCAUGGGCAAGUCUUGGAGGGAAAAAGUAUGGCCUAGUCAUUGUUGAUGAUUACUCAAGAUAUACAUGGGUGUUCUUUCUCAAGUCCAAGGACGAGACGAAGGUCACUUUCAUUGACUUUGCCAAACAAGCCCAGCGGAAGUUUGACAAGGACAUCAAGGCAGUAAGAAGUGAUAAUGGCUCUGAGUUCAAGAACUACACCCUGGAAGAAUUUCUUAGUGAUGAGGGGAUUGAACAUCAGUACUCCGCACCUUACACCCCCCAACAAAAUGGUGUGGCAGAGAGAAAGAACCGGACACUUGUGGAAAUGGCAAGGUCCAUGUUAGAUGAAUACAAGUCACCACAUAGCUUUUGGGCUGAGGCCGUCAACACAACAUGUCAUGCAUCAAACCGACUCUUCCUCCGAUCAAUAUUGGAAAAAACUCCAUAUGAGCUCCUAACUGGGAACAAGCCCAAUGUUAAGUACUUUCGUGUGUUUGGAUGCAAAUGCUUCAUCCUCAACAAACGGGAACGGUUAGGGAAAUUUCAAUCCAAAACAACUGAAGGGAUUUUUGUUGGCUAUGGGUCAAACUCUCACGCCUACAGAGUCUACAACAAAUCCACUGGAUGUGUUAUAGAAACCUGUGACGUGACGUUUGAUGAAUUUAACCGCUCCCAUGGGGAGCAAUUUGAUCUAAAUGUUGCAGGUGAAGAAGACACCCCACAAGAUAUCUUAAACAUGGGUGUAGGUGCACUUCUGCCUAUGGAACAAAGACCCCAUGAUGAUGAUGAAGAUGAUGAGAACAUCUUGCAUCUUCAAGACAGUUCACUACCCGUACCCCCACAAGAUAUUAGCACACCCAUCAUGCCAGUUUUUGAGGAUCAAGUGGGAGAUGACACUCAAGAACAAGUUGAUCUUCAAGAGGUAGACCAAAGUAUGGGUAUGCUUGAUGAUGAACCUCAACAGGUGCAACGCGAAGAGGAAUAUCUUCCUCCGCACAUAAAUGAUCCAUAUGUUGAGGACAUUGAUGAUGGAAACGAAGUUGAACCUCGUGGAACCUUGACCUCCAUCAUGCCACGUGUGGCCGGUCGUGUUGAUAUUGAUCAAAUCCUCACAGGCGUAUCGGAAGGUAGAGUGACUCGCAAACAAUUAACAAACUUUUGUGCUCACUUUUCGUUUGUUUCUAGUACCGUGCCACACAGGGUUCAAGAUGCACUAUGUGACAAUGACUGGCUACUUGCUAUGCAAGAAGAGCUAAACAGUUUCACACGCAAUGAAGUAUGGUCAUUGGUAGAACGACCAACGGAGGAACAUAAUGUUAUUGGAACUAAAUGGAUUUUCAAGAACAAGGGAGAUGAGAACGAGACUGUUCUACGCAACAAGGCAAGGUUAGUAGCACAGGAGUACUCCCAAGUUGAAGGUUUGGACUUUGGUGAAACUUUCGCCCCUGUUGCUCGUCUUGAGUCCAUUCGCAUUUUAUUGGCCUAUGCUUCUUUCAAUGGUUUUACCUUGCAUCAAAUGGAUGUGAAAAGUGCUUUUCUUAACGGUCCUCUACAAGAAGAAGUAUAUGUAUCACAACCACCUGGGUUUGUUGACCCUCAUCACAAAGACCAUGUAUAUAAACUUCACAAGGCACUUUAUGGUCUUAAACAAGCACCCCGUGCUUGGUACGAUCAUCUUAAGAAGUUCCUACUCGAUGAUGGCUUUGUGGUGGGGGUGAUCGAUCCCACUCUUUUUACUAAGAGGGAAAAUGGUGAUUUGAUCUUAUGCCAAAUCUAUGUAGAUGACAUCAUUUUUGGUUCUCCUAACAUCCAUUUGUGCAAGAAGUUUGCGGCCUCCAUGACCAAGACCUUUGAGAUGUCACUCAACACGGACUUGAAGUUCUUUCUUGGUUUUCAAAUACAACAAUUUCAAGAAGGGAUUUUCUUAUCUCAAACAAAGUAUCUCAAGGACAUUCUUGAGAAAUUUGAUAUGACAAAUGGUAAACCAAUGAAGACACCCAUGGCCACCGAUGUAGUUCUAAAUGAAGACUCAAACGGUAUUCCUUUUGACCCAUCUACGUAUCGCUCCAUGAUUGGUUCGCUGCUUUACCUUUGCGCAUCUAGACCGGACAUCAUGUUAAGUGUAGGAAUAUGUGCUAGAUUUCAAGCUUCCCCUAUGGAAAGCCAUCACACGGCGGUUAAGCACAUUCUUAGAUACCUUGUUCACACCCCAAAGUUAGGCUUAUGGUACCCUAAGGAUGCAAAGUUUGAUCUUAUUGGGUAUUCUGAUGCGUAUUGGGCCGGUGAUAAAGUGGGACGGAAAUCCACUUCCGGUGCAUGUCAGUUUCUUGGACGCUCAUUGGUAAGUUGGUCCUCGAAGAAGCAGAACUGUGUUUCUCUCUCCACGGCCGAGGCCGAAUAUAUUGCAGCCGCAAGCUGUGCUACUCAAUUGCUAUGGAUGAGGCAAACACUGAAGGAUUAUGGUAUCAUGUAUCGACACGUUCCUCUUCUCUGUGAUAAUGGAAGUGCCAUAAAGAUCUCCGUAAACCCCAUUGAUCACCCUCUCACAAAACAUAUUGAUAUUAGGUAUCAUUUCUUGAGAGACCAUGUGCAAAAGGGUGACAUUGAUAUUACCCAUGUGGGUACCGACAUGCAGUUAGCCGACAUUUUCACCAAUCCACUUAGUGUAGCUAGGUUCUGUCAACUUAGGCGUGAACUUGGUAUCUUGGAGCUUGACAAUAUAUCUUGAAAUCUUUCACACAUACAUACACUCACAUUAUGGUUGUGUCUUGAUGUGCGCAUAUAUUUAGGGGGAGUGCAUAGUAAUUCUAUGUGUUUUUAAGCUUACAACGUAUGCACAGAUCAUUUCAUGCAUGUAAUGCUUCUAGGAAAACAGUGCUCAUAGUUUGUCUUAUAUAUAUACCAUGCAAGUCAUCAUCAUCAAAACACUCCCCUCCUCUAUCUCUCGGACGUCCGGCUCAUCUCGGACGUCCGGCGCCAGAACAUCCUCCGGACGUCCGACACCCCUCGGACGUCCGACCGCCAGACGUCUGACGCCUCUCGGACGUCCGACGCCUCGGGGCCCCUAUAUAAAGCUGGGCGCGGGGCUGGGCCUUUUGCCCUAAUCCCCAGUGCCCCAUUUUCCCCAGCCGCCGCCGCCUNNNNNNNNNNNNNNNNNNNNNNNNNNNNNNNNNNNNNNNNNNNNNNNNNNNNNNNNNNNNNNNNNNNNNNNNNNNNNNNNNNNNNNNNNNNNNNNNNNNNNNNNNNNNNNNNNNNNNNNNNNNNNNNNNNNNNNNNNNNNNNNNNNNNNNNNNNNNNNNNNNNNNNNNNNNNNNNNNNNNNNNNNNNNNNNNNNNNNNNNNNNNNNNNNNNNNNNNNNNNNNNNNNNNNNNNNNNNNNNNNNNNNNNNNNNNNNNNNNNNNNNNNNNNNNNNNNNNNNNNNNNNNNNNNNNNNNNNNNNNNNNNNNNNNNNNNNNNNNNNNNNNNNNNNNNNNNNNNNNNNNNNNNNNNNNNNNNNNNNNNNNNNNNNNNNNNNNNNNNNNNNNNNNNNNNNNNNNNNNNNNNNNNNNCUGGGAGCUGCUCGAGGAGCACCUCCCCAGCGCCGCCACCCACGAGAUCGAACCGAUCUCCUCCGCGGAUCUCCUACUCCUCUGUCCGUACUCUUCACGGGAUCCAUCUCAGGGCUCCAUGGGCAAGACCAAGCACACCGCUCGGAAGAUCGUGGCCGGCUCAUCCUCUCGCAUCCCUAUGAACACGGGGUCGGAAUCGGAUGAGCCACACCGUCCCUUCAAACGGGCUGCCCGGCGUUCUCCGCCCCGACGGUCUCUGUCUCCCUCGCCGUCUGAUGAUGUUGACCCCGACUUCGAGGAGGAGCUUCCCGCCGAGGAACUUCCUCAACCCGUCGCUCGAAGGUCCAAGCUCAUGUCUCACAGGGCGUCCUACAUGCCACAACCGCCUCCUGCCCAGCCUGAAGGUGAAGCUCGCCGCAUCUCCUUAGAGCCUCCUGCCACGUUAGGUCGUAAUAUCACAAACUUUACCACACUUGGGGCAGCUUCCUAUCUUACUUUCCGCCGCGACGUAAAUCAAUACGAGGUCGGCAGUGAUUCUACGGAUUCACGCUUUCGCACAAACGUCCAGGCGGACAUCUUUUCCAUCGUCAUAGUUCCUAAGGGCUUAUCUAAUCAUCUUUACAUUGAUAUUGAGCAUAUUCGCAAGCACCCGGCGAAAUAUCCGGGUGCCAUUGAGCUUAUUGAGUCUUCGGGGCUUGCCGCCCCGUUUGCUUUUCAUUGCGACUAUAAUGCUGCUGCCAUCCACCAAUUCUAUGCCACAUGUCACUUUGGCUCCGACAACACUGUCACCUGGAUGACCUCUGACGUUCGUUUCAAAGCCACUUAUGCUACUUUUGUUGCCGCUCUGGGUUUUCCCCAUUCCGGUUAUAAAAUACAUAAGGAUGAUCCUAACCAUGCGCCUAAGACUAUUGAUGUGUGUGGACAGCUCCUCAAACCACUACGUGAGCUUGAUGAGGAUGAGCACCAGAAGGACCUUAACCAGGUAUCCAUCUGGCGCUCACCUUACUUCAUUACCUUUCAGUGUGUCAUCCGUACCAUCUAUCCCAAGAUGGGUGAUAAGGGUUCUUGCAGUGGCUAUUGUAUCGACAUCAUGUACCACUUGUUCGAGAACCGCAAGACCAAAAUCAAUGUGCCCCAUUUCCUAUGGCAUGAGAUUUGGCUUGCUAGCUUUCAGUACAAGCGAGCCUUUCCUCAUGCUCCUUUCAUCCAGGCACUUAUUAACCACGUUGUUGAUUUCUCUGUGGCUACCACUCACAUCCAUCGCAAGUGGUCCAUUCCCGCUCACAUGGCAAAUGAUUUUGCUCCCAAGCACGCCCCUUCUUCCUCUACUACCACUCGCCGCACUGCUGCACGGGCCGCCACCCCUUCAUCUAGCUCCGCUCCUCUCGGUCGCAUUGCCAAAUUCCUUGGGAAAGCUCACUCUGCUUUGAUGAAGGUUGUCUCCUUUCAGUGUGGUCAAACCCAUGAUGUGGUUUCCCGCUUAGUUUCCUCUCAGAAUGCCCUCAAGGCUCGUCUGAGAGCCUCGGGCGAUCUUACUGUGAGUGAUGAUGAGGCCCCUCCUGCUGUUCCUUCCAUUGACUUUGGCUUCCCUUCUGGUCCUGAGUGGUCUGAGUUCUUUGACGAGGCUGGGGGCAGUGGUUUGGCUGAUGAUGCUGAUGAUGAUGGUGAUGAGCUCUGAGUAUGGUUGGUGUUAUUGAUGGCUCCCUUUUUGGUACUUGGUGCCAAAGGGGGAGUAAUGUAUCGUAGUUAAAAAUUUUAUUCUCGUCAUUUUUAGUCUUUGGAGAUUUGAUGUAAUGGAUAAAACUCAUGUAUGGCUACUUAUGAAUGGUCGUGAUUUGUUAUGAUAUCAUCAUAGACUAUUAUGUCUUGCUCCUUUAUUUCUAUGAUGAUCUAUUAUUCUUCCAUGUCGAUCCAUUUGGAGCUUCGAUUUCUUUAUCAUGCAUAUCCUAAGGGGGAGCUCCGUACUAAAUAUCUCCUAGACUAUAAUGUAUGGUUAAUAUUUUUGAGACCUAUGUAUAUGUUGUCAUCAACUACCAAAAAGGGGGAGAUUGAAAGUGCAUGCUAUGCCCCUAAUUGUCUUUUGGUGUUAAUGACAACACAUACAUAGGAAACUAAUCCUAUUUGUUGAGUGUAUCUCAGGACGGCAAGUACUUUAGUAGAUUAAGAUUUAUGUGCCAAAGGUUGCCUGAAAAGAUUGGUGAGUUAUAUUUCGAGAAGACUCGGGAUUAAGAAGAGAUGCUGUAGAAUAGUCUUUUGNNNNNNNNNNNNNNNNNNNNNNNNNNNNNNNNNNNNNNNNNNNNNNNNNNNNNNNNNNNNNNNNNNNNNNNNNNNNNNNNNNNNNNNNNNNNNNNNNNNNNNNNNNNNNNNNNNNNNNNNNNNNNNNNNNNNNNNNNNNNNNNNNNNNNNNNNNNNNNNNNNNNNNNNNNNNNNNNNNNNNNNNNNNNNNNNNNNNNNNNNNNNNNNNNNNNNNNNNNNNNNNNNNNNNNNNNNNNNNNNNNNNNNNNNNNNNNNNNNNNNNNNNNNNNNNNNNNNNNNNNNNNNNNNNNNNNNNNNNNNNNNNNNNNNNNNNNNNNNNNNNNNNNNNNNNNNNNNNNNNNNNNNNNNNNNNNNNNNNNNNNNNNNNNNNNNNNNNNNNNNNNNNNNNNNNNNNNNNNNNNNNNNNNNNNNNNNNNNNNNNNNNNNNNNNNNNNNNNNNNNNNNNNNNNNNNNNNNNNNNNNNNNNNNNNNNNNNNNNNNNNNNNNNNNNNNNNNNNNNNNNNNNNNNNNNNNNNNNNNNNNNNNNNNNNNNNNNNNNNNNNNNNNNNNNNNNNNNNNNNNNNNNNNNNNNNNNNNNNNNNNNNNNNNNNNNNNNNNNNNNNNNNNNNNNNNNNNNNNNNNNNNNNNNNNNNNNNNNNNNNNNNNNNNNNNNNNNNNNNNNNNNNNNNNNNNNNNNNNNNNNNNNNNNNNNNNNNNNNNNNNNNNNNNNNNNNNNNNNNNNNNNNNNNNNNNNNNNNNNNNNNNNNNNNNNNNNNNNNNNNNNNNNNNNNNNNNNNNNNNNNNNNNNNNNNNNNNNNNNNNNNNNNGAUAUAUGCUCUAACAACCGGCCCUCAGCACCUCCUAGGGUUUCCUACCACCCUACGGUUUCCUCCCACCAACCCUAGGCACAUGGGACCUUAGGAGGGGCAGUGUCGAGCCCAUCAAGGGCCGGUGUGCCCCCUUUAUCAGCCACUUAGGCCCUCCGUGGCAGUUGGACGUCCCUCGUAGACCCUUGGAACCCCUUCCGGCACUCUCGACAAAAAUGGUAAAACACGAAACUAUUACGAAACCCGAAUACUAGCUUCCCAUACAGAAAUAUUUACCUCCCGACCAUUCCAGAGCUCCUCAUCACGUCGGGGAUCUCAUCCGGGACUCCGAACAACAUUCAAUCACCAGCAUACAUACCCCCUAUAUAUAUCAUCAUCAAACGUUAAGUGUGCGGACCCUACGGGUUCGAGAAUCAUGUAGACAUGACCAAGACACCUCUCCGCUCAAUAACCAAUAGCGGGACCUGGAUGCCCAUAUUGGUUCCUACAUAUUCCACGAAGAUCUUUAUCGGUCGAAUCACGAUGUCAAGGAUUCUGUCAACCCCGUAUGUAGUUCCCUUUGUCCAUGGAUGGUGAUACGUAAGUCUGUGUUGUCCUUGAGUCUUGGUCUUGUUGUAGUGGCCUCCUACAUUGGUUGUGACGCGGGUUGGUGCUCUAUGGCUUACCUCAUUUUCGUUGGCAUGAGGCCGGACUAGGUGUGACAUUUAUCGUAGUAUGCAUGAUGGGUGUGCGUGAUGGUUGUGGCUGCUAGUCCUAGAGAUUGCCAUUGUAAUGACCGAAAGGAGUUGUAUUAUGCUUUUUUGCCGCUUCUUCUUAAUGCAAUGAUUCACAACCCACAUUUUUUACAUUUAGGAUGUAUAAGUAGAAGCAUUGCAUUUCAUGAUAUCAGUGCACAUUUGGUGUUGAAGGAUCAUCUUGACCUUCUCUUAAGCUCCGAGUUAAAUCGAGUUUAAUUAAAGGCCAUAAUGAUUACGUAUUGACAACCAAUGGAGAUUGUUCAUUUCUCCAAUUCCAUGGCGUAUCCCAAGUCUUCUAUCAUUCUUGUACCUGAGCACUUCACCUUAAACACAUGUGAGUCUUUGUGGUUCUAUACCUUGAUCAUUCACAUGAGCAUCAAUACAGUGCCAUGAAUAACCGUAAACAACUAACACUAUUUAUCUAUUCCAAAAUAAACCAAUUCCACCACUUCAUCUUGGACUACUAACAACAAAACUUUUCUUAUUAAAUCCUAAUAGCGUUGCCAAACUUCUCACACGAGUUUUCUCAAGCUGCUUCUCCAAUAUGCACAACACUGCCAUGUCAAAAUUGCUUCAUUAAUUCACGAAGCUCUCGAAUUGUCACGAGGUUGCCCACCCCACGAAAAUUCCAACAAGGCAACCUCCAUGGUCUGCUCCUUAUGACGCCCAAGAAGACACCAUCUACAUCGAUAUAGCCCUAGUGUGUGAGGUAAAAGACAAUAGAAAGGCUUGAUGACCCCAUGUGGUUCCACCAAGGUCGAGCAUCAAGGCAAGCCUGCUCAUGGAUUAGUUUCAAUGAAGAACAACAUGGACGACGGUUGGAGACAAGUGGAGAAGGGACUGAACAUCGUGCUAUGGCGACAGAAAGCUAAACCAUAACUAGAAGAAAACAAUCAACGACAUUACGACAUCACUUGACUAUGAUUAGAACUAGCACCACCAUUGUCAACUGAAAUAAAUUUUUCUUUGAGAAAAUCAGAGGCAAUUUCCUAUGCAUGGUGGUAGCUACACACCCUUGGUAUAAGUGCAUUUUUUGAUACGUGAGGUGUUGGGUUUUAAUGGCAUUGGCACAAGUACAUUUUUAUUGUAUAUGAAUGACCUUUUCUCACUUUUAUUUGUCUUGUUUGUUACCUUUUUGACACAAAUGUCUUUUUCUAUGUAGAAAGGGCGUUUCUCACUUCUCUCCGUUUUUCCUUGCCUUUUUGGCAUAAUUGCAUGUUUGCUUGCGUGGCUGGUCCAAACCCAUGAUAUUUUCGCUAUAGAGUUGUUUUCAUAUUUAAAAAUAAUUUAUCAAAUUAAUUAGAGAUAAAAAUUGGGACCAUGUGUAGCUACCACCAUGGGUAGCAAAUUAUUUUGCAAUUUUCUAUGCAUGGUGGUAGCUACAUACCCUUUGAUAUAAGUGUCUUUUCGAUAUAUGGGGUAUCAUGUUUCAUUACCAUUGACACAAGUGCAUUUUUGUUGUAUAUGAAUGAUCUUUUCUCACUUUUAUUUAUCUUUUUUGUUACCUUUUUGACACAAAUGUCUUUUUGCUGUGUAGAAAUGGCGUUUCUCACUUCUCUCGAUCUUUUUUUCCUUUGCCUUUUUGACGUAAUUGCAUGUUUGCUUGCCUAGCUGGUCCAAAAUCAUGAUAUUUUUGCUAUAGAGGAGACCUCCUAGUCCCCACAUAGGGUGACGGUAGGCUAGCAAACGCGUACCCCCGACGCACAUGGGCCGAUCUAGUGUGAGGGCGCGAGCGUUGUUUUCCUGUUUGUGCCUUCUUAACUUCCAAAACCGUUCACACAAUUUUAAUAAAUCUUCAUAAAUUCAAAAAAUGCUUGGGAUUCAAAAACUAUUUCGACUUUCAAAAGAUCUUCAUGAAUUCAAAAAUACUCAUGAAUUCAAAGAAUAAUUUGAAUUUAGAAAAGUUCAUGAACUUUCAAAUAUCUUAAGAAAUUUCAAAAAAUGUUUUGGAUUUAAAAAAUCAAGGAUUAAAAAAUAUCCAAGAAAUUCAAAAAAUGUUAAAGAAUUGAAAAAUAAUUAAAUCAAUCAUAUUCCAAAAGACGACUGUGAAUUCUGAAAAUGACCAUGAAUUUCAAAGAUUUUCCGCAUAAAAAAUGUUGCCAGAUUGCAAAAAAUGUUUAUAAACUUAAAAAAUACUAAAUUUCAGAAAUAAUUAGCGAAUCAAGAAUAUUUUCCAUUAAAUUUUCCUAGAAAUUUCUAAAAUUGCUCACACUAUCAAAAAAAUCAUGGAUCAAAACAAGUUGAUGUAUUUUUAAAAAGAUCCUAAAUUUAAAAAAUGUACGUGAAGUAUAAAAAGAAGAAAAAGGAAAUAAAAUCAAAGGAAAAGAAACGUAAAAGAAAAACAGAAAAGUGAAAAGAAACCCACUCUAAGGAACAUCUAGAAGUCUUAGUUGGACAAAUCCAAUAGUUAUGUGCAACGUCACAUAUGGGUGUGUGUUUGGUCGACGUUUGUUGACUUGCGUGUUAAAUAGCGUCCAUAAAAUAAUAGUUCAAAUACUUAGAGCCUUCUUGACGGCAUUGUGUCCCAACCCAACAAGCAUGUCACGGUAUGGACCCGUCCAAAAACCUCGCCGACCAAAGGUAUCACCAUUGGGCUAUGCCAAAUUUCAUGUCAACGCGAGCGUCAGAGAGUCAACGGGAGGUUCAACACCUAUAGUAUGCCGUGAUUGCAGCGUCAACUAUCUAGGUAGUUCGGCUGUUGUGAUAAAUGACUUGUUUGAUGUGGCAAGUUGAGGCCACCGCCUGUCGGAAGGCGUUAGCAGUUGCAGAGGAUCUUCACCUACAACAAUUCAUCAUUGCUUUUGAUACUAAAACAAGUGGUGGGAGACAUCGCCAAGGGCAACCAAGGAUGUUAUGGCACCACUAUUAGUGAGAUCAACUCUCGUUCAAUUACUUUUAAGUGUACUUUUACUUUUGAAGGUUGUGUUGUGAAUUAUGAAGAAUAUAGUCUAGUCAAGUUUUUGUUUACCCCAGGACAGGGACGUCACGUGCGGUUUGACCAACCCAUGACCAAAAUGUACCCCACAUUAUGUAAUUUUCGAUCAAUAAAACUUGUCUUUACCCNAAGAAAAUUAUAACAUGGAAGAGUACCUCUAUUUCAUAUGAUUAUGGUCGUGAAUCGUCGUUGAAUCAUAGAGUACCACCAGUGUGCUAAUAGUAUUUCAUGAUGUGUGAUUAUGGUUCAAUGGGCUGACACGGUUAGGCCUAGACACGGUUGAGUGGCUAAGAAAAUUAUAACAUGGAAGAGUACUCCUAUUUCAUGUGAUUAAGUUUAACUUACAAGUCUCAUAAUCUAGCUAGGCAUGCUUUGUCAUUGAAUCAGGGGCGCCUGGGUAUGCCUUAUGACCAGUGGCGGAGGUAUAGGGUGAACAGGGUGGGCCACGACCCACUUUUGGAUUUUUCCAGUGGCUUUAUAUCAUAGGAAAAAAUAUUCAAAAUAUUAUGAAAACAUAAUUUAAAUGAACAAUUCUACUCUUGGCCCACCCUGACCCAUUGGGCUAGAUCUGCUACUGCUCAUGACCCAAAAAUGACCAUUGGACGUGUGCAUGGUGAGCUAUAUCAAAAACAAAAGAUUUCUCACUGAAAAAUAAACAUUAGACUCAAGAGCACAUACGUCGUUUUGUCGAAAGGAGGUAUCGCGAAGGAGCCAGUGCGCCGUCGCCAUCGGCCAUAUCUCUCACCCACCACGCUUUUGCUCAGCUGAAAUGCAAGAAAAAAAGAAGAUUUGCUCACAUAAUGGAGGUACCGAGAAGGAGCCAGUCCGCCGGGCUCCCCAGAAACAUCCCCCACUUUAGCCCAUUCAGGCCCAUGUCAGCCCACCACUCCCACCAUUUCCCGUCCUCAUAUGCGGUGAUGUACCAGGCGGCGCAGCGCUAGCACAAGAGAGAAAUUAGGCGAGGCAGCAGCGUCCGUCUCCCUCCCUCCCUCGACCCUAGCCCCCCCAGCGCAUCGCCGCCGGGCCCCUCCGCCGCUCCGUCGCCGGCAUAUCGCCGAAGGGCGCGCCGAGCUCGCCGGAUCGGCCCUGCCGCCGCGGAUCCAGUACGGGCUCCCCACUCUCCGGACCUCCCCGCGUCCAUCAGUUGUCCGUUGCUUGAUUUGACCCGACUUGAUUGCUUUCCCCGGGUUGAGAUUUGGUCUCGUAGGCUGAAUCGCGAUCGGGAUCGGGGGAUCUUGGACGGGAUUUAGUAGGAUCGUAUAGGGAUCGAAUCGUAUUGGAACGAGUGAUCGCCCCCCUUUCUUAGCUGCGUUUUUUUUUUUUGGCGAAAUGCCCCGAAUUGUGAUGUUGGUUUUGGGUUGAUGCUGUACGGACCCAUUCAGUAAUUAGCUACCACUUAUGUGUUUUGUGGAUAUUUCGCAGCAGAAUUUGAUGCUGAGUAUAUGGUGAAUGAUGUGCAUUCUCAUUUAAUCUAACAUCAGAGACUGAUCUUAGUGGAUUGCUUGAGUAGAACUCUAAUACUUAGAUAUGUUAGAUAGAGGGUGCAUCACGCCAGAACACAUGUGACCUGAACAUAAUUCCUCUGUUUUAGUAUCACUACCUCAACCACAGCGACAUGGGAUUUAAACCGUUCCCCACUAGAGUCGGACAAGAAAAUAAUCCAUUACGCAACAAAAUCCAAGUUUUAAGAGGGUUCAACACUUAAGCUGGAUCAACAAAGGAGAAUACAGAGCAACAGGCUUAACUCAUGAGUUGCAGAGGAAAGCUUGUUGCAAUGCUAAUGUCAAUUCAUAAGGACACAGUGAAGUGCAAAAUGAUGCAGAAAAGGAACAUAUGAUAUGCUUUGUUAUAUCUACCUGAUUGUGCAUACACGUAGCAAUGACAGGGUAUUGUGUAGUUAGGAUCUCCUUAAACUUACUAUUCCUAAUUUUAUGAUCAUUGUUUAUGAGAAAAAUAUUGAAGUUGAAACCAAUGUGGCAAGUUUAAUUUGUGCAUUUCUUGUUAUGUUGGUUUUGCUCAGAUCAAACAGAUACUUGGGUUCCUUUUCCAUCUAAUUGUGUAUGUUGUUGGGUGCCAUAUCAUUAACCAAGUAUUGCCAAUCUUUGGUCCAGAUGGCUCUUAAUGAACGCCUCAGCAAAUUUAAACAACAGCAGGAGAGAUGCCAGACAACUCUAUCCAGCAUUGCUGCAACCCAAGCUUCAACCACAAAAUCCCACAAUGCUCCAAGGUCUAGACCAGCAAAUGCUCCGUCAGCUCCAGCAAAACAGAUACAGGCCAUUAAAUUCUCAAAUGAUACAGAAAGGCUUCAACACAUCAAUUCAGUGAGGAAGUCUCCUGUCGGAGCACAGAUCAAAUUAGUUAUUGAACUGCUUUACAAGGUAAUUUGCGGAAAGCUCAACUUGAUGGUCCUCAUAUUCAGUUAUUCUGUCCCGUAGUGAUAGGUUUCUCUGUUCUCUGUUUGGCCUUGCAAAAUUGCAAGUAUUAUUUAUCAUGCAAAACAAGUUGUUAACUGAGCCUUAUAGGACAAUAAGUGAUUUGUUGGAUAAGUUCCGCUAUUGCUUAUGUUGUCUUUGGGUUAGAGAAAACUUCACAGUGCUAAUUUUCUCUGGGUAAUAGUAAAUGACCAGAGCAGUGAUGUCAUAUAAUAUUACUGUUGCUUUUAGUGACAAAUAGUAUAUAAUUGCACUCUCAAUUAUCAGAUACCGGUGGUCCUAACGCAAAAAUAGAGAUAUUUAUUCAAGCCUGAAUAAAUGGUUCUGCACCUUAUUUCACAUGUUUAAUUCGUGUUUCUUUCAGCUUAUUAUAUUAAUGACAGACUUCGUAGUACGGUAACAAAAAGAGUGUUCUCUUACAGUUUUUGUCCUGAAAUAUAUGUUAUAAUGUGUUCCAUGUAAAAUAAUACUCCUCUUUUCUUGUGAACCUGCAGACAAGACUUGCUUAUACAGCAGAGCAAAUAAAUGAAGCAACAUAUGUUGCGAUUAAUAGUAACAAGGCAGUCUUUGAUAGCCUGACGAACAAUCCCAAAGUACAAUUUGAUGGGAAGCGUUUCUCUUACAAGGUAAUUGCAUCGAGGAUUAUUUUAUUACACAUUGAUAUAUGAAGUACCUGUUUUUUCCUUCGCGGAAGACUUCUGUCUUUCAUCUCAUAUUAGGUUGCAUAUUGACCUGGCAUUUGAAAUUAUACAGUCCAAGCAUGAUUUGAAGGGGAAAGAUCAAUUGCUUCAUUUGAUCAGAAGAUUUCCCGAGGGUCUUCCUGUUGUGGAGGUCAAGGAUUCAUAUCCAACUGUAUUGGAUGAUCUACAGGUGACUAAAUUCAUAUUGGUUUAAGAUUUUGAGAAAUCUGGUAGGUGCUACAUUAUUUUCCAUGCUGUGUAUCAAAUUUGAUGGUGGAAAUAACUGUAUCUGUGUUCAGAAACCAAGUAGUCUUAUGUACAGAGGUUCGAGAUUUUAAUGUUGGGAUCUUUUAGCGAGCCUUGCUUUUGUUUAUGUAUAUUUAGAAGUACAGUUAUCUAAGCUUCCAUUCUAUGGAGGUUAAAUUUUAAUGUUAGUUGUUGCCUUUGUGUGCGCUUGUAGUGGUUUUUGAAAUAUUUCAACUGUUGAUUACUUGACUGCUAGUAAAUAAUCGAAGUUGAUGCACUGUACACAAGAGCACAGCCCUUUUACUAAGCACAUUUUUUUAUAUUUGGUUAGCCUGAACCAGUGAGGUAUAUAUGAAGUUGAUGUGUCCCAUGACCGGCAAUUUGCUUGAUUGGAAACAGUGUUUCCUGGUGUCUGAUGGAACACAGCCAUAAUGAAUCAGUGAAAUUACUUGGUUCCUAGAGGUGGUUCUUUUCUGCAGACAAAUAGAACAGCAAAACAGGACAAGCUAGUUCCAAGUAUAUUGGAACUAGGCAGAUCGCUUACUGAUCAGUGUUAACUAUUGGUGUUACUUUGUGUACUUGUAGCUUUUGCUCUUUAUUGCAAAUGUGUAAGCGAACUAGGAAUUCAGCCCAGAUAUCUGAUGUAUACAGCUGAAAUUUCUUUUCUGCUUACAGGCUCUCAAAGCCUCAGGUGACGUCUGGUGGCUAUCAAGCAUGGACUCCCAGGAAGACAUUGUGUACCCAAAUGAUCCCAAAUCGAAGAUCAAGCUCGAUGCCGACUUGAAGCAGCUGUACCGGGAGAUAGAGCUGCCACGAGACAUGAUUGACAUCGAGAAGGAGCUCCUGAAGAACGGCCACAAGCCAGCAACCGACACGACCAAGCGGCGUGCAGCGGCACAGAUCCAUGGCCAGCGACCAAAGCCGAAGGCCAAGAAGAAGCAGAAAGAGAUCACUAAGAGGACCAAGCUCACAAACGCGCAUCUGCCUGAGCUGUUCGACCUGCCCCGUUAGCGCAAGCAAGCAAUGAUGCAUAUAAAGUUUGGGGGCAUUUCUUCAUGUGAGAGCUCGCAAUAAUAUUUUUACAUGCACAACGAUAUCUAUUUUUGUGUUACUUCAUCAUUGGGGGAAAGGACUUGCUGCAUCUCAAAACUCAAAACUGAGGUUGAUGCUUAUGCUUCAAUGCUUGUUAUACAUCAGUUGUACGUUGACAAUCCAUUGUGUGUUCCGUAUAAAAUGAAUCGAGAUGAACACCAAGCGACCUCGCAAUAGUCAUUAUACAUUACUUCUUAUUAUAGGGCAGUCCGUUGUGAGGUGCGGUUCAACCGCUUGUAAAUUUUACCCGUAACCACGGACGAUGGAUGGAUCUGCCGAAUAGAUUCCGCUCCGGUUAGUAGUUUAGGUUAGGAUUUUUAAUCCUAGCAGGUGCAACGCUCGAGGUAGUUUAGGUUAGGAUUUUUAAUCCUAGCAGGUGCAACGCUCGAGGUGGAUGACUGCGCUUUGUCUUCAAGUUUGUAUUUCAUGCUACAAUCCUCUUUGAGUUUGUCUUCAAGUUUGUAUUUCAUGCUCCCAUCCUCUUUGAAUUUGUCCAUCUGGACAUAGUCGACGAGGCCCCAGUGUAGAUUCCCUGCGUCUCGUUUAGGCAGUGAGGUCAUGAUUUCUCACUGUGUGACAAGAUUUGGUGCUAGAUGCUUUUAUAUAUUCGAGGGUUCGACGAUGACGACUAUGGCUCAAGGACACUUGUCCUUAGGGGCACACAUAUAAAGGCUUUUCGGUUGUUAUUGACAUGAUCAAGCCGGCUCCGGUAAAGGAACGGCGACAUGCCGGUAAAGGAACGGCGACAUUGGCAUGUCGGUGGUUUGUUGUGGCAAUGGUCGUGGUCGUUUGGUUGUCUUAAAAUCUGGAUGUAGUUUCUGUUAUGUUUAAGGUGCUUUGUAUUUUCAGUGAACAUUAUAAUAGAUCUAAAUCCUUUUUGCUAAGAAAGCAUUUAGCGUUCGAUUCUUUUGGCAUUGGUCAAAACGCUUAAGUGUUCCUCUAAAAAUUUGCAUGUGCCUAUGAACACAUCUAAACUUUUUCUGGAUUAUUUUUUAAGUUUUAAAAUAACAUUUUUAGAUGGCUAUAUCAUAUUUUUAUGCUCUCCAUAGCAAAGAAAGGGUAGGGCGGGUACUGUUUAGUUAAUUUUUUCUUUACUCAAAUCAACGUUUGUGUUAUAUACACAAACACAACCACAUGUGAAAAAACAUAGGCGAAAAUAUAAUGACUGGAAUGGCCGUCGCUAAUGUGUGGAGCAGGUUGAUACUGUCUCCAAAACGGGCAUAGUAUUUGUGUGCGGUCCUUACUUUAAUUUCUAAAAAUAAUUUGACGGUUCUUUUUUAUUUCGGAUCGGAGCAGUGUAAUUGCUAGAAAAUUAAGUAUUUAAGGUUGGAGCCCGUCAUCCAACUCUCACCGUAAAUGUCGACCCGCAAUACAAAUAAAUUCAGAUGUAAUUCAUUCAAACGGAUAUAAAUUCGAUAUAUUUUACAUAAAUUGGAUGAUAUUUUGUGCGUUCAACAAAUAAAAUCUAAACUAGCUUGUAACGGACGGUGACCUCGUAAGCGCAGUCGGGCUGGCCUGUGUCACAUCCGUUUUUGUUGUCGGAGUGGUCCUUCCAGCGGUAGAAGGGCGCGGCCGCCCUACCUGGCUUCCCGACGCUUGUGGAAGAGCCACUAAGUUUCCUCGUGUGCCAUGCAGAUGACUACCAAGGUCAACACAGACCCUGGUCAGGGAGUCUUACCCUUGUCCCUCUCAGUGGCGGCCUUGCUGAGCGACCACUCCUCACCGACCUUGACAAGCUCCCUGUCGAGGCGACUUAGUCGCCGCACGGACAUCUCCGCAAUCAGCGACCGAUCAUGGGCCCAGGUCUCCUCAAGGUCGUGGUCUGCACGAACCAUGGUCGGCGCCUUGUCGGACCUCAUGAACACCGUGCGGCAUCAUUCCCGCCUCACCGCCUCCCUGACCACCAUCUCCUUGCUUCAAUGUGGCACAUUGGUUGAAGUAGGCUUCUUGGUAACGGUAUCGACAUUGAAGCGACACUGCCUACUUGUCUGGUCGCGUCCUUCUGACCGGUAUAAUUACCGUGGAGCCAUGUCAGCUCUCGAGCAACGCUAGCUGGCAUGAAUGCACGACAACUGCUUCACAUGAAAAGGUUUUGGGUGUGACCAGAGCGUCGAACUUGUACGUGGCUGCAGCCCAAACAUCCACAAAGCCCCCUAGUUUGUGGGCUUACUUUCAGCACGGCAGCUCCCCCUAGUUUGUGGGCUUACUUUCACCACGACAGAAUCUAGUCUGAACUUUGUUCCGGAUGCACAAACCGAUGAGCGAAAUCACUAGUUAGCGAGUAUAUCUUUCAACGAUUACUCUCACCUCCACAUGUUGCGACAAGUGGCGCAACCUAGGAGUUUUUCCUUUUUUCGUAGAUCCGUAUUUUCAAAAUGUUUUAUCUCCUAAACCGUGUGUCCAAAUCUCAAACCGUUUUCAUCGAUGGCUUUCUCGCGUGGAGAUCUUCAAAACUAGAUCUCACGUUGAUAGGUUUUGACGAACUUUUUUUAUGAAAAAACCCGGAAGAAAAACCGUGCCUCACGCGAUAGAAAAAAAACCCAGAAAACACGUUUUUUCUCGCGAAGGCAAAACCAUGCCUCUCGCGGAAGCAAAACCGUGCAUCUCGCGGGAAAAAAAAGAAAACACCUUUUCGGGAGAGGCACGGACGUGCCUCUCGCAAAGGCAAAACCGUGCCUUUCGCGGAAGCAAAACCAUGCUUCUCGGAAAAAAACCAGAAAACGCGUUUUUUUUUCUGAAGAGGCACACUCUCGUGAAGCAAAACCGUGUCUCUCGCAAAAAAAAAACAGAAAACACGUUUUUUUUCCUUUUCGAGAGGCACGGGCGUGCCUCUCGCGAAUGCAAAACCGUGCCUCUCACAAAAAACAAAAGAAACGCGUUUAUUUCCUCUUUCCGAGAGUCACGAAGGCAAAACCGUGCCUCUCGCAAAAAAUAAUAAUCAGAAAACAUAUUUUUUCCGUAAAUAAAACAAAAAAUGCGUUUUUUCCGUUAUGAAAGACCGGUGAAAAACCGAAACAUAAAAAAACCCCAAAAAAACCACUCUAAAAAACCAAAAACACGUGCGAAAAAAUAAAAAAAGCAAAAUACAGAAGAAACGUUCAGAGCGCGACAUGUGACGGCGGCUAAGAACGAGCAAGAGUGAUCGCUGGGAGGCUCCCGAAGGAGUGCUCGCUAACUAGUUGCUCUCACCGACUAGCGCAAUUUGGUUCAAAGCCAUAUUGAUACGUCAACAUAAACAAAGAAAUGGACUUCAAGUGUAACUCUAGGUUUCAGAAAUGAACUUAUGAUAACAUCGAGUAGUUGCAUAAGGACGGUCCAGAGAGAAUAUAACUCCAAUCUGUACUUUUUCCAGUUUACAUGUGUAUAUGCAUACAGCACGAAUGAUCCAUGAAUAUAACCCUUGUUAGAAUGCCCUAGAAGAACAUAUAAUUGUAGACUAAAAAGCCAAAAAACCCAGCCCAACUAUGCCCGAAGGAACUUAAACAGUUUUUUUUCCGAGGGAAAACUUAAUCACAGCUCUUAUUACAGAUGUUUGCAAGCAUGGUCGUUACAUAUUUCCUUGAAGGCUCACAAGAAUGAACCCAGAACCAUCAGAUGGGGUUGCUUCACAAAGUGUACAGUAACAAAAAAUAUUGAAGCAUUCAGAUGAAAAGCCCCCACACACAUCAACAACAUUCCAGUCACCGGUCCCAAGUAUUUUGAACUUUACAAGUUUUUAUCAUGUGCAAGAUAGUAAAAUGUAUUCACCGACACCGUCCUGCUUUUUCUAAAUCAAGAGGACUGAUGGCAUACGUUCACCUGCACAAAGGAUAUUUGAACAAGUCCCCUGUUAACUAGCCUAGUGAUUGGAACUGAAGGAGAGUAAGCACAGAUCUGAUGACUGGCGAGCGCCAUCCAUGUCAACCAUCUACAAAUAAGCAACAUAAGAGCAAUUCAACUCAGAGCUCUAGAAACAAAUGGAAAAUGCAGAUUUUUUUUGAAAAAAAUAUAUGUAUACCUUGAAUCCUAUAUGAUCAUAGAGCCUCCGAGCUGGCAAGUUAUCCUUAUGUACAUGAAUAUAAAUACUUUCAGCACCUACAACAAGGGGUGAAGGUAUCAGCAGAUGAACCACUAUUAUCUGUGGUUUUACAAUUCUAGACAAGCCUAAUGCUUUACCAUCGAGUCUUGCGGCAUCAAUGGCCAAUAACAACAUGUUGCUGGCAAUCCCUUGACGCCGUGCAUACUUAGCAACACAAACGUUGGUUAAAUAUCCAAAUUUUGGCUGAUCUGGCUGAUAGAUUCUAGAGUAAAAUGGCAUGUUUCCAGGCUCCUGUGAAUAAUUUCGAAAUGUAACUUCCAUAGACACAGGCAGGAGUAAUACAAAGAUAUUGGUGCUAUUGUCCAUACCGCGGGAUAUGUCUCCCCAUAUAGAGGAUGCCUGACACACAGAUCUACCGUACCAACAACACUAUUCAGCACAGUACGUGUAACGUCAUCAUUCUUUACCUGCAAUAUUAUUACCAUGGGUGAGAUGUUAAUUAACCGUGAAAUAUAAGGAAAAUAUAAUAAAAGCAACUUUAAGAGUGAUUGACAAUGUAGACCUAAAUAUUUUUUACAAAAGAUCUCUAACAACAGAAAAGUGAAGUUUUAACUUGGCGGUUGUUGGGUAGCUAUUUUUGAGUGUCUUCCCUCAAAGAAAUAUUUCAGAACUAGCAUAACAUACUAUUUCAUGAACUGCUUAACUCAAAAUGCAGUAAUAAAUGGGUUACAAACAGCUUUACUCUCAUACCGCAACAAAACAUGUAUACUUCUCUCCAACCUGCCUGCUACACCGUUUCUUUAAAGCAUGAAAUUCCUGCAGUGAGAUGACUGACGAUGAUACAUUUGACAUAUUACAAGAAAAUGAUACACGGCUACAAGUGUCAACUUUUAAAUGAUCAGCUGGUGGAAAAUGGGCACGUGCCGAUAUCAUCACCGUCCCACUUGCCUCUAGUAACACAAAAAUAUGACUAACUGAUUACACACGUACCUGUGAUGCAAACUUUCUUUUGAAGCUUUCAACAUAGCUGCAGUAAGAAAACAACAGUACAAUAGAUUUUAGUUACAAGGAUACUAACUAACAAAAAGUACACCAACACUGUAAUUUAGGUACUAACCGAUCGCCUGACUGAUCUUCAUAGUGAUCUUCUGCUCUCAACCAUGCGGCAAUCUAUAAGGUCUUGGUAAGAAGAGAUGUAAGGCAUAGUGGUAAUGUAAAUGUUAUUUCGUUACUUCACAGCACCAACUAAAUUGUGAAGGUAGAUUAUUUGGAAUAUAAGUGUUAGUAUCUAUAAAUCUCGUGCUCUGAGCUUAUUAGCAUGAGAAACAAAAGACAGGUAGCCUAUUAAUUAUUGUCACUAACUCGUCAUAAACACAUGUGGCGACCAUGUCAAUCAGAAAUGGACGACUUUAAGUUAUUGCCCAGAAUCAGUGAAUGUAUAUUUUUUGCAAGUAACAAGAAUAAUACCCAGUAUUCCUCAUCCACUAUAGCCUCCCGAGCAACAUAACGACCAAAAUAUCUUGUGUAUUUGCAAUCACUUUUCUCAGUCGGGGGUCGAAGACGAUUGAAACGGAGAUCGGAUGGUUCUGCUGGAUGCAAAGGUGUUGGCGUCACUGCUGUCCUAUUGGAUAAGCUUGAUGAAACCCCAGGGAUGGAUGCUUUUCUGGCAACAUUAACACUAUGGGCAAUCAUUUCCUCUUCUCCACCGUUUGUAGAAACCACGGGUUCAUCUUUCCUGAAAGAAAAAGCUGAUUUUGCAUGAAAAUAAUUGACAACAUGGGUAGACUGUAAGCGUGGUGUUACUUUUUACAUAUCUAAGCUAGUUAUAUGCUUAUAAAGCAAGAAAAGGCCACACGAUUCAGAAACCUAAUCUAGGUAAAACUGGGUUCUAGUGCUACGGCGAGUAUUCAGUUUGACAAUUACAUGAUAUAAGUAAUGAGAUGUUUUCAAAGUACUGUGCAGUUCUGCAUCCGAGAAAAAACACCCCAAGGUUGGCAGCAUUUGUGUUUUCCAGAACAGCAUAUCACUAUCUUUAUCUUCUCUGCUUGGAACAAACUUGUAGCAAAAUGCUGGCGAACAAAACCAGUAACUGGUAAGCUAGCCCACAACAAUUCAACAAAUAAGGGCGUGGAUCAUCCUAAAUUGAACUAUAUGGUUACACUUUCGUGACAUGGAAAUUGAUGAACAAUACAUCUUGCAACGGGCAAUCAGAGUUCAACGAAGUAAGCAUAGGAAUGCGUGUGUCUUCGACCAUAUGACUCCGUCGCAAGACGAGCUCAUGGAUAGGAUCAAGGAUGAGAUGAGGUGCUGGGCUAGAGCCGGGGACAAAGGGCUUAGGGUAGUCUUGCCCCCAUCCUGGGAUGUCCACUAAACCCCCUGUAACAAUGAUGUAACCACCUCCUAGGAGGCUGUAGUCCCCCCUUCUUUUCAAUACAAAGAAACGCAAGGCUCUUUGCGUUUUCUCGAAAAAAAAGAGUUCAACGAAGUUCCCAAAUCGCAUUGAUCAACUUCCUCCCAAUUCAAGCAGGCAUGUCCCUUCCUUUGCUGCAAUCAGCGACUGAUAAGAACAUGGAGUCCCUCAUUCCUCGGACAAGGAAAACUAGCAGUCUAGCAGUCUGCGACCCUGAGACCGAACCGACCGCAAGCAUAAGAACAGAGUAAAGACUGCUCACAUCGGCGUGGCGGCGAGGCGCCGGCGGAGGAGGACUCCCCG
rnacentral:lncRNA from 1 species